UCUUCACAUAUCAAAUAUUUCCAUAUCGAUACAUAUGACACUUUUGUUCUGCCAAUGUGAUGGAGAGUGAGUGCGAAAAAGAAACUUUCAUUUUGAGUCUCCUAUUAUUUAAUUUAAUAUUAUUAAAUAUUGUAUUAGAUUGAAAAAUAGGAACUUCGAAUCUUUUUCUGAUAUACAUAAAGUAAAUAGAAAAAGAUUCGAAGUGGUGAUCUCUCUCCUCUUCCUCCAUGUUGUAACAAUAAGAUGGGGCUUCACAAAUACUCAUCUGAAUGGGUUUUACAUCUUCUUGUUUGCUCACAUUGAUCAUAGAAGCCAAAGUAGCCAAAGCAUCCGCCAUCUGGUUCUCAUCUCGCAGUAGAUAAUUGAAAGUAACAUCAUCAAACUCAUCGAUUAACCCCAGCACUUUGCUCUGAUAAUUAAUCAAUUUGGAGUUUCUUGUCUCUCAUUCACCUCUAAGCUGGUAGAUCACUAGCGCAGAAUCUCCAUAUACUUUUAACACCUUGAUCUUGCAUUCUAUGGCUGCGCGGAGUCCCAUGAUGCAUGCUUCAUAUUCUGCCAUAUUAUUUGUGCAAUCAAAGUCCAAUUUACAAGUAAAUGGAUAAUGAUCUCCAUUUAGGGACACCAAAACUGCCCCGAUUCCAUUAUCCACAGCAUUUGAUGCCCCAUCAAAGUUCAAUUUCCAUGGGUGACCUUUUGUAACGUCCUCUUCAGUAGCUGCCACAUACAUUAAUUCUUCAUUGGGGAAAUCAAAAUUCAAGGGCUCAUAAUCUUCUAGAGCCCUACUGGCCAGAAAUUCUGCUAUUGCACUCCCUUUCACGGCCUUUUGACUCACAUAGACUAUGUCAAAUUCAGAAAGCAAAAUUUUCCACCUAGCCAUCCUCCCGUUCAAAGGGUUUGACUCCAUCAUAUAUUUUAGGGGGUCCGACGUCGAGAUUAACCAGAUCGUAUGGUACAACAUGUAUUGCCUCAACCUCCCGAGCUGCCCAGAUUAAAACACAACACAGUUUCUUGAUUGGAGGAUAUCUCAAUUCACAUUCAGUGAAUUUCUUACUGAGGUAAUAUAUCGCAUUUUUCUUUUCUUCCUGAUUCAUCAUGCUGACCAAGCACACAUCCCAUGGAGUUAUCAAAUACUGCUAAAUAUAGUAUUAGUGGCCUAUCUGAGCUAGGAGGUGACAGCACUGGGGGAUUUGACAAGUACUUUUUAGCCUUAUCAAAAUCUCUUUGGUAUUCAUCAUCCCAUUCUCUUGGGUUCUGCUUCUUAAGAAAACGAAAUAUAGGGUCGCAUUUCUUAGUUAAUUGUAAAAUGAACCGUGCAAUGUAAUUUAGUCUUCUUAAGAAGCCUCAAACUUCUUUUUGAGUACGUGGUGGGGACAAUUCUUGUAUAGCUCGAACUUUGUCUGAGUCAAUCUCAAUUCCCCUUUCACUGACUACAAAGCCUAGUACUUUCCAGAACUAGCUCCAAAAGUACAUUUUGCUGGAUUAAGCUUUAACUAAAAUUUUCUUAAUCUCAAAAACAGCUUUCUCAACACCUUAAUGUGCUCCUCUUCAGUUCGGGAUGUGGAAAUCAUAUCGCCGACAUAAACUUCAAUCUCUUUAUGCAUCAUGUCUUGAAAUAAGGUCAUCAUGGCUCUUUGAUAUGUAGCUUCAGCAUUCUUCAGCCCAAACAGCAUCACUUUAUAACAGAACGUGCCCUACAAGGUUAUGAAGGUAGUUUUUUCCAUGUCCUUAGGAUGCAUCUUUAUCUGAUUAUAUCCCGAGAAGCUAUCCAUGAAGGAGAACAAUGAGUAGCCUGUCGUGUUAUCCACUACAGUAUCAAUGUGAGGUAAAGGGAAGUUGUCUUUUGGGCUAGCCUUAUUUUAGUCUCUGUAAUCAACACACAUUCGUACUUUCCCAUCUUUUUGAGGAAUAGGUACAAUUUUGGCUACCCACUCCGAGUAUUUGACCACCCGCAGGAAUCCAGCAUCAAAUUGUUUCUUGACUUCAUCUUUUAUUUUUAGCACAAUGUCUGGCCUCAUCCUUCGAAGUUUCUACUGAAUCGGCUUGAAAUAUUCUUUUAUGGGAAGGUGAUGUACUACAAUAUCGGUGCUCAACCCGGGCAUAUCUUGGUAGGACCAUUCAAAGACAUAUUUAAAUUCUUAAAGUAGCCCAACAAGGUCUCGCUUUAUUUUUUCGGUUAUGCAUGCUCCGAUUCUUACAGCUUUUCCUUUUUCCAAAGUCACCACCUCCAUUGUCUCUUUAUGCGACAGAAUUUGCUUUUCCUUUUAUUCUACCAUCCUUAACAAGCCCGAGAUAAGUCACAAUCUCUGUCAUCUUCAAAGUCUUGAGAUCCCUCUAAACACAUGUCUUGCUCAAAAAGUGAUUCUGAGUCAGUAGCAGCGUCACUCAUGACAUUGAUAUCCUGGGACCUAUUAUAGGUACAAAAAUAUGCAAAGAAUGAAUGAAUUUAAGAAUUAUUAUUUGCAUGGUAUGAUUAUGAAGGAAUGAUUGAAGAAAGUUUAAAAGGACCAAGAUAAUUACUUCGGCGAAAAGAAUAAAACAAUUACUUGUGGAAAGAAUAAAAGAAUAUUUGCUAAAAAUGAUAGCGAAAAUGUAUUUCAUUAAAAUAAUGAUGUUUGAACAUGAGCCUAUUUCACAAAGAAAUUCUUCUUGCCUCUAGGCUUAAAGCAACAAGAUUGUUUCGAACAGUACUCUGAGUAAGGUCUAAAUACUACAGGAAUUUCUUCCACAGCCCUAUUAUUCAAACAUUCCCAAGUAUACAAGGAUUUGGAAACUUUUACUCCCUAGUUCCCUUUUUGGAUAUAUCAUUCAGAUUCCCCGAUAUUACUUUUAGGCUUUUGGCUUAUUCAAGGCAUCGCAACUCUCUUGCCCAUACUUUCAAAUAUUUCAUUUACUUCAUUGUCAGAGCAAUUAGGUUCUGAAGAAUCGUCAAACUUCACAAUUCCCAUUUCAAUGAACCUUUCGACAAACUUUUUAAAUGUAGUGCAGUUUUCAAUUGAGUGCCCCGUUAUUCCCACGUGGUACUCGCAUGAGCAUUCUCAUUAUACCAUUUUGGGAAUGGAGGUUGUAUAGGUUCCGAAUAGAAUGAAGGAUCUACAUGCACAUCAAAAAGAUUCUGAUACAAUUCCUUAUAUGACAUCGGAAUGGGUGCAAACCGGGGCCUUUCUGUAUGUGACCUCGAGUUGGAUUCUUGCCUUAUAGAGUCUGGAUAACUAAUAGUUAUAGCCCCCGGCUGACUACAUUGACAAAUUUAGAAGGCAUGCUCACGAUGUUCGCUUCAUUUUCCUUGUUCCUCGGGGUUGACCUUUUAGCACUUUCUCCCGCAUCUAUCUGCUCGCUUUUUACCGUAUUUUUGAUCAUCUAACCAGACAUUACUAUAUCUGAAAAGCUCAGAGUAGCACUUCCCAACAUAUAAUUAAUGAACGGGGCUUUAAGAGUAUUGAUGAAAAGCAUCGUGGUCUCCUUUUCUAGAAGAGGCGGCUGGCUUGUGUUACUAUCUCUCUCCAUCUUUAGGCAUAUUGCCUAAAGCUCUCAUUUUGCUUCUUUUCCAUAUUCUGCAAGGUAAUUCUAUCGGGUGCCAUGUCUGUUACAUGGCUAUACUGCUUCGUAAAAGCUUGUGCUAAGUCCUUCUAUGAAUUGAUUUUAACACGACUCAAUUGAUUGUACCAUUUAGCUGCUAACCCGAUCAGACUGUCUUGGAAGCAAUGGAUUAAUAGUUGAUCAUUAUUAACAUAUCCUGUCAUCCUUCGACAGAACAUUGUGAUGUGAGCUUCAGGACAACUAGUCCCAUUGUACUUUUCAAACUCUGAAAACUUAAAUUUUGGAGGGAAUACUAGAUCGGGGACCAGGCUCAGAUCCUUAGCGUUAACCCCAUAAUAGUAGUCAACAUUCUCCAUUGCCUUAACUUUUUCCUCCAACCACCUAUAUAGAUCCUCGAGUUGUUUUGGCAGUUCCAUCUUUACUUUUUCCAUUUCGUCCAAAUCAGGAAAUACAACAGUGAUUGGAUUGUCCCACGGAUUGAAGCUUGAGCCUAUCGGGUAAUUCACUGGUGUAGAGGUACUGACUUAAUAUUGCUGAGAUCUGAUAGCUAUGGGUACACCCUACGGACAUGUCUGAGCAUUUUUGGGGGUGAAACCCGGAAGGUGGAGAGACUCCUUAUUGUUCUCUCCAGCAUUAAUCAUGGAACUUUUUCCUUUUUUUAGGCCCUUUAGUUAGCAAUUGGGCAACUGAUUCAUUAUGUUCCUUUGAGACUCUAGCACCUGGUCUCUCAUAUCCUAUAGAAUCUUCGUCAAAUUCUCUUGCAUUUGUAUUUGUAGCUUGUCUUGCAUCUCUCACUAAAGUUGUUCGAGUUUUUCCAGCCUUUGAUCCAUAUCUUUUGUCUUAGCACGGGUAUCGUAACGACGCUUGGUUGGUAAGUUUUUAUCGAUUUACAGAUUAACUGAAAUGAUUUCAACUAAUUAGGGACCCUUUCAUGAAAAUCUAAUGCAAAUGAUGCAAUGAUGCAAUGCAAUACGAAAUGCAUAGGAUGAAUGCAAAGGAAAUAAAGGCAUUGAUUUUGAAUUCAAUUCCAUUAGAACAACUUUUCUAGAAAAAAAAUUCCUUUACAUAAAACGGAUUACGUAUACGGCCUUGCUUUCAUGUUCCAGGCGAAGACACUGAUCCCCUUUUCUUCGUGAAAGUCAAGUCUCACAAGCUUCCAAUAAAUGCCUCUACUAGCUCCUUUUUGCUUGAUCCAGGCCACAUCUUACUAUCCUCGCAAUGUUGAUUAGCUCCUUUAAGAAAGUCAGGACGCGAGGGCUACUGAAUAAUCUUUAUCGGCUUGAAUCCUUAGGUAAAGUCUUGUUUUCCUCAGCGAACUGUCAGCCUUCUUCUGUCGUGUUUACUUGGACCAUAUUCAGACAACCGUAUUGUAAUCCACUUUAUCAAUAAAUUCAUUUUCUUAUGACAAACUGUUCUUUUUAACAAUCAAAUAUGAAUCAACACCUCCUUUUUAUGAUGAUGUAAUGCAAUGCAGUCAUAAACAAACAAAAACAAAACACAUUAGUAUAGAAAUAAAUAACAAAUAAAGUUCCUAUUCGGGUGACCACUAAAUUUGGGCAAGGUUCUACCUAAGGUGGGCUCUCAAGGUUCACUAAAUGUGGCUCAGUUCUAAAGAUAAGGUACCUGAACUAGCAGAUUCCUCAAUCCUCACCCAUUAUAGGCUCAUAUGGAUCGAGUUUGGUUCAGGGGAAUAUAUUUCCCUAUGAUCAUGUAGAGAUGAAAAUCGCACGAAAUCAUAGGUACAGAUGUAUCCCGGAAGCAGUCCACUAGCCCAUGCAGAGGUGGAAACCUCACGAAAGCAUAGUUUCUUACUCCCACUUAAAGGUAUAACCACAACGGUCAUGCAAUGCAAUGCAAAAGUACACUACAAGACUCGAAUCAACAAUCAUGCAAACGAAUGCAACAAAGAAUCAUGAUUUUCAAAUCAAAUUUUCAAUUUUAGACAAAAGGACAAAAAAUAACCAAUUUUAUGGCUUGACUCUCUUGUUCAGUCUCCAGUGGAGUCGCCAAGCUGUCGAAACCAUUUUUUUUGUUUUUUUUAAUUUGAAAACAACGGGGAUCGACUUUUGAAAACAAAACAUGGAGUUGCCACCAAUCCUUUUUGUUUAGGUGUGAUUGGAUCACCUAAAAAAACAUUUUAUUCCAUUGAAAUCAAUUUUGGCCUACGUAAAUUUGAGAAAACGGGUUCGGGAGCUGGUUACGAAUGAGGAAGGAUUAGCACCCUCACUACGCCCAAAAUUGGUACCAAAUUGAUUAAGUACUGUCCUUAUGUCUAAGAUUUAAAAAUAUUUUGAAAUAUAAUUCCUUUUAAAACAUUCUAAUGGCUCAAGUUGGUCGUCGAAAUUCUCUUGUUUCAAAGGAAUACAGCAUCACAUCCAACACAAUAGGACACGAUCCUUUAUACCUUCAAAACCACGAUCAAUUCUUGGCUUCCAAAAGCUCAUACGUUAAAAAUUACAAAAGGAUGCUCAAUUAUUUAGUCCAACGAAAAGUCAAAACCCAGCACGGUAGGGCACGAUUGCUCGAAUUUCCAAACACUGAGCAUUACCUUAUUUUAGAAUUUAGGAAAUACAGAUGAAAUUUCAAAGGAAUAUUUGAUUAUUUUGGAGAAAUGGAAAAUCGAAACCCAGCACGGUAGGGCACGAUUCAUCGAAUUGCCAAACAUCAAACAUUGCCUUUGUGUUAGGAGAUUUUCAAACAAACAUUUGUAAAACCGUCUCAAAACGCAUUUUACCAGGUUCGCAUGCGGUACAAAAACAAUGAAACCAAUAAAACUGGCCCAAAUGUGUUGGAGAAGAACGCAUAAUAUCAAGCACAAAAUGAAUAUACAUGAACAUAACAUUACAUUGUUGAAUGACAAAGAUAAUAAUUCGGACAUGCAAUCUGAAAUAUACAAUGACGAUAACUUCCCAACAUAUUCAAGCAAUACUAACAAUCAAAACCAAAUACUUAUAUACAUAUAUAUACAUUUUUUAAUAUUUGCAUAGCAAAUUAAUAAAAUAUAAAGCAAUUUUUUUUGAAUGAUAAUAAAUGAAUUUAAAAUAAAUGAAGAAAAGAAAAUUUGAAAUUGAUCCAAUUAUAUAAUUUUAACCUAAAUUAUAUGUGCAAAAAGUCUAACAAAGGGCCAUGCACCGAUAAAAUUAAAAAAAAAAAAGAAUACAAUAGAAAUAAGUGUAAUAACAUAUGGACAAGUUUUAAAACAAAUAUUUUGUAAGAAGAAAUUAAAAUAACUGAGAUACAAAAUAGUUUAAAACCGCAUGUAUUAACUUAUUGGCAACAUACAUGAGAUGAAAAACUUAAUAGAGUUAAUAUAUAUAAUAAUAAUAGGUGAAAGUGUUAAAAAAAAUAAAUAUAUAUAUAGUAAAAAUAAAAUUUUAAAAGCAAUAAAUUAUAUAUAAAUAGAUUUAAAAUAUAUAUAACGAUAUAAAUUAUAUACAAAACAAUAUAUAUAAAUAUGAAUAAAUAAUAUUCAUAAAAUACAAAUAGUUUAAUAUAAAUAAUAUAUGUAAAAAUAAUAAUGUAAUAUUUGAAGCAAAGAAUAUUCAUAAAAAGAGAAUUUUAAAAUAAGUUGAUUGUAUAAUAAAACAAAACGAAAAUAUACAAAAAAAAAAUGAAACUAAAACAGUGAAAUCAAUAAAAUAAUUCAAAACAAUAUACUAAGAUAAUAAGUCAAAGAAUGAAUGAGGAAUAAUUCAUAAAAAUAAAAAAAAUAUAAACUAAGAAACUUAAUUGGAAUAAAACAAAAUCAGAAGGAUAAUUUACAAAUUAAUCAAAUUGUUUUAACGUGGACUAAUUUGAACAUGGACUGCAAAUGUCCCUAAUCCAAAACGCAGCGUUUAAACGUGGACUAAUUUGAAGCAACACGCAAAUUACAAGGAAAAAAUUGAAACCAAAGAGAUAUAAAUAAGACUUAAUCAAAUGACGGUGCAAAUGGAAAGGAUUGAGCGCGCAAAUUCCCCUUUUAGAGCAAAAACGUGCGGAUUCGACUAUGCGUCGGGUCGACGCGCGAGCUCCCUCAUUCCCUAAAUGGCGCCAUUUUAUUCCUUUUAUAAAAGCAAACAAUUCCUCCCAAAAAAGAGAAACAAUCGGCCCUUUUGAAAUUGAAACCCUAGCCCCCUGUUAUUUCCCUCAAUCGACCUUUAAUCUAGCCUCUUAAGCGUCGAUCCGCCACCAUGAACGGCGACCAGCGUGCACGAGCCUCAGGGUUACUUUUUCAGCCUUAAGAUUCCCUCUAUACCUCGAUUUCAAUGGAGUAGAAGGAAUCCCAUGGCAAUUGUAAGGUAAGUUUUUCACUUCCACUUUUUUUAUAUAUUUAAAUGCAAUAACGAAAGACCUCAAACAAUAAACUCAAAGAAAACUCAAAGAAACUUAAAGAAACUUAAAUCAGAAAUCACCUUUAAAAAAACUUUGAUGGUUUUAUUUGUAUUCUAUUUUCAUCCAUAAUCCCAUACAAUCAAAGUCCAAAUGGUUUUAUAGCCGAACGAAAAAAAUAGAGAAAAAUACAAAAUUUUGCUCGUUUUCUUUUGCUUGCUAUUUUGCUGUGUUAUUUUUUUUCUUCAUGUAGGUACGGAGGAGGACGUGGAGGCACGAGUGGCGCUGGGGCGUACAAAGGUCGUACGUGGGAGCGUACGGAGGCUGGAGGCUGUGGCACCAAGGUGGAAACCCUAGGGUUUCUGUGGAUAAUUUGGUCUUGGGCCACUUGGGCCCGAUUUGUUUUAUUUGGGUAUUGGGUUAUGGGUUUGUUUGGGUUUAGGGUUUAGGGUUUGUUUUGGUUUAGGGUUUAGUUAGUUGUUGGGCUAUUGAAAUUUGGGUUGGUUUUAUUAUUGGGCUUGGUGUAAUGAAACAUUUGGACUUUUGACUUGCUUUGGUUUUAUUUAUUUUUGUUGUUUUGGUUUAUGACGGGCUCAGAAUUGGGCUUUCUACACUUACAAUUGAGCUUUCAACUCUUUUAAUUCUGUUGGAGCCAUUCUGUACGGAGCUAUCGAUAUCAAUGUUGUUCCUGGUACUAAUUCAAUACCAAAUUCAACUUCUCUGAUCGGUGGCAAACCCAGUAAUUCUUCUGGAAUUACAUCCGAAAACUCACAAACAAUAGGUAUAGAUUCAAUCUUUGAUUUAGACACCUUAGUAUCUAAUACGUAUGCAAGGUAUGCAUCAUUGCCCUCUUUCAUAUAUUUCUGAGCUAACAUAGACAAUAUCACAAUAGGUAAUCCGAAGAAUUUCACCGUUUUGAAAUUUCAAUUCGAUAGUCUUUUGUCUACAAUUCACAACUGCAUCAUGCAGAGUUAGCCAAUCUAUACCCAGAAUUACAUCAAACUCAUCGAAUGGUAAAAGCAUCAAGUCAACCCAAAAAUAGUAACCCCGAGUCAUCAAAGGACAAUUCUUACAAAUUUUAUCAACUAAAACAGACUUGCCUAAGGGGUUCGAUACUUUAAUUACAAAUUCUAUAGACUCAACAUGUAAACUCUUUUUAAAUACUAAAUUCAUACAGAUAUAUGAAUGGGUUGAUCCAGGGUAUAUCAAUGCAAAUAUAUCAGUAUCAAAAAAAGAAAAGGUACCGGUAAUAACGUCUAGCGAUGAUGCCUCCUCCCGUCCACGGAUAGCACACUACAGGAAAAUAGGGUUUUAGCGGCAUUUUUGGUAAAAUGCCGCUAAAAACAGAGCAAUAGCGGCAUUUUUUUGUUAAAACACUGCUAAAAAUAGAGCAAUAGCGGUGCUUUUGGUAAAACGCCGCUAAAAGUCGGAGCAAUAGCGGCGCUUUUGGUAAAACGCCGCUAAAAACCAGAGCAUUAGCGGCGCUUUUGGUAAAACGCCGUUAAAAGUCAUAUAACCCCUAAAACCCUAAACCCUAAAAAUCAUGAACACUGAUCUAUAACCCCUAAAAUACUAAACCCCUGAACCCUAAAAACACUAAACACUAAACUAUAACUUCUAAAACCCUAAACCCCAAAAAACAUCACAUGAAUGUUGAUGUGUAUAUACAUAUAUAUUAAUGUAAAAGCUUAUGUUCAUAAUAAAUUAUGGAAGCAAUACUUAAUAUUGAUUAAAUUUAUUUUUGGUUUACGGUUUAAUAUUUAAGGUUUAAGGUCUAUGGUUUAGGGUUUUAUGGUUUAAGGUUUAAUGGCCAUGGGUAUAUAGUAUGUUAAUCUCAAGUGAAUCAUAUUCAAUAAUUAAAUCCUAAACCCUAUAAUUAAUUAUUGUUAUCGAUAAUAGAUAUCUUGAUUUUGAUAAAAAAAUAUUUUUUAUAUAUUAAUAAGGUGUUAUAUUGUUUAAUGGAUUGAAGGGAUAUUUUGUGGAAAAUAUUUUAAAUGAUAAGUUUACCUUUAAAUUUUAUUAAUAGUUUUUUGUUUAUACUAUUUUAAUAUUUAUCUAUACUGAUUAAUCAAAAUAUAUAUUUAUUUAUACGAACGAAAAUUCUCUGCACUCAUUUGUGUCUCCACGUUUUUUAAUUGUAACUCAUUUUCUUUUUAAAAUAUAUAUUGUGUCUCCACGUUUUUUCAUUUUCUUUUACACAAUUAUUGAUAUAACAUUAUUUUAUAUUUAUAUAUUGCAUGGAUGCAUAAAUAUUUAUAUUUAUUCAAUAUAAAAAUAUAUUGAUGUAUUUAUUUUUUUAAAUGUGUAUGAUUAAAUCAAAAUUAAAGUUUCAACUAUACAUUUAAACCACAAUUAGAAUUUCACGUCUACAAUUACACAUUACAUCGAAAUAAAAAAUAAACUCAAAAAUUAAAAAUUAAAAAUUAAAAAAUUAAAAAAUUAAAAAAUUAAAAAUUAAAAAUUUAAUAUUUUAGUCCAUAUUUCAAUUAAAAAAUUCAAUAUUCAAAAUUUAAAAAAAUUCCAAAAGAGAAAAAUAAAAAAAUAUGUUAAAUAUAAAAAAAAUUAAAAUUAAUCAAUAGUUAAAACGCCACAAAAAAUUGAGUUAUAAUGACGUUUUUAAUGAAAACGCCGCAAAAAAAAUCAAAAUCCCCAAUUUUUUAAUUCCCGCUCGUUAGUCCCUAAAUCCCCCAAAUAGCUCUCAAAAUUUGCCCCCAAAUUUCCCAUUUCCAGCAACACCAAGUCAAUACACCUACAACAAUCACACUUGUUUAUCCUUUUCAUUUCACUGCACUGAUUUCACCCACCAUAGCUACUCAUUUUCUCUCAAUCUGUUACGGUUUCUUUUAAUUCCAGGCUUUCAAGAAAGCACUGAGCCUGCUCCGAAAAUGCUGUGAGAAAGAGGAUCUGUUGGUUUAGGAUAUAACUUUUGGUUCAUGAAGAAGCGACCCCUCCGCAUCAAGAUAGUCAAUCGCUGCUCCUAGAACUGGGGGAAGACUAAAUGGGCGAAAAGAAGACAUUCCGGAGGCGAGUGAAUCAGGCUCUGUGCCAGUCAAUCUAGUUGCCGGUUGAUCUCCCUCAGGGCGAGUUGCUAUUGUUGCUUCCUCUCUCGUUCAAGCGGCAUGAAGCAAAUUGGUCCCAAACUGUAUUAAGCAAAUUGGCUGGAUCUAGUAAAAGGAGGGUUCAUAGCAAAUGUUUAGUGUGCUGAAGUCUAGUGCCGAUGACAAAGGAGUUUUUUGCUGAAUAUUUUAAGAAAGCAAAAUUCCAAGAAGAAACAUGUUCAGUUAUCUAAACAGUUCACCUUAAUUUGUUGGUUCUUAACAAGUUUUGGUGUUAAUUUUGACUGCACAUAUUUGGAAUUCGGUCAUGCUGAUUUUGUUUUUUCUUUUUAAUAACACUAGAAGCCAACAGUUAACCUUACUGUUCUUAUACUUACACGUCUAAUGGUUGCCUCUUGCAUUUCAGGCACUUUAUGUGAUGAAUCCUAAUAAGUUCAGGGCAUGUGAGUUUCUUAUACGGUUCCAUGAAUGAGAGCAUGGUGAUAAGAUAAAAUUUUAUUAGCUUUUUCUAUAAUUUUUACAGUUUCUUUUUUGUAUAAAGUUUGGUCUUCUAAAAAUCUUUCCUGUCUCAAACUCAAUAGGUAGUCAAUAAGCACUAAAACUGAUUUUUCACAGUUUUUGUCUUCUAUUUCAGGUAUGUUAAGCUUCUCUUUUACCCUUUUUUUAUUUUCUGUAAUCUUUUGCUACUUUGGGUCUCCUGUAAUAUAAAUUUUUUCUAUCUUUAUUCAUUUUCUUAAACAAAAACUAUUAAUUUAAGCAUUGAAGAGUGAUUGAAAUGCAAACUUUGCUUGUUGUCCCUAGUUGCAUCGGCAAACCAUAGGUGCCUUAAUUGAGUAUGCUAUCAACAAUAGUUUAUAUCCCCACUGGUAGAGUCUUUCCAAAUCAAGUAAUUUGGAUUAGAAUUGAGAUUGAAAAGUAUGCAUGAAUUCUUUCCAUUGGUUCAACUCCCAUUAAAAUAAAUGGAUGCCCAUGUUCCAACUCCACUACUUUCCCAUCUUAAAGCCAAGCAGAGGAAAAGCUUGGACCACUAGCAUUGUGAUGUCAAGAAGCAGUUGUAAUACUUUGGUUAAAUGGAGUUGCCUCGCAGAGGUUGGAUCAAAUUAAAUACGGAUGAUUAAUUAUUAUUCAUGUUUGAGUGUUAAUUACUUACAGUAUAUAUUUAAAUAUAAAUAUUAAGUUGUAUUAGCCUUUUUUUUCUAGUUGUAUGUGCAUGUUAUUUUUUUAAUUAAAAUUUUGAUGAUAUUUUAGAUUUGAAAUUUCUGCAUCAAGCAUUGUCGUCUUGCUAAUGUGUUGUUUGUUUAAUGUUGUGGAUGAUGCAAAGGUUUGUGAGAAGAAAAUAAGCUUUUCACUAACAUUUUAACUUGAUUUUUAAUCCUUUUUCUCAUUUAUUUUUCUAAAUUUGUAAAAUAAUAUUCUGAUUGGAAUAUUAUAGUUAUUGUAUUUUAGGUGAAAUUAUGUGUUUGAAUUGGAUUACUUAUCAGCUUGGGAGCAUAAUUUUAUUAGGCAAAAACUAUGGGUGAAAGAUAAUUACCUUAGCUGAUUUGUAGACUUGUGGAUUAUUACCUCUUUGAAUGUUGGUGCAAAUUUGUUUCUAGUGCUAAUAUUUAAUUUAAUUUGAGUGUGAAUUUAGUGAUUAUCGAGUUAAUUACUUAAAUUUAGUGAGGAGUGGAAAUUUAGAAUCUCUGAUUGUGUAUUUGAUUGGUGGUUAAAUAGGUGAUGUGUCGGUCAUGCAUGAUGUAUCUGUUGAUCUUGUCACUAAUGCUGUAGAAGGUUCCUAAUUCAUUUUCUUAUGUUGAUUUUUUUUAAAAACUUUUGGCAUUGUGUUAAAAAUAUUUCUGCAACAGGUGUUUCUAGCCCACGGACUACAGCUUGAGAAAAUAAACAAAGCUUUAAUAUUUGAUUGUAAAUUGUCUUGCAACGUUUAGAUGUUUUGUUGUUUUUAUUAAUUAACACUAGCAAUGAUCUUGAUUUUCAAAUUUCAACAUCCUAAUAACAUGGUUUAUCAGGUUUAGGUAAGAUCAAUCCUUGGUGGAUUAAUCUUGCUAUUUCGGGUUGGAAGAACUGUAUGAAAGAAAUCAGUUAAAUUGCUGCUAUUAAUGAGGUCCGGAAGUGAGUAAGUUGAUGUUUGAAAUAUCUUUGUAUGAUGGAGUGAAUGCUGUUGUAUAUUGUUGCUCAUUACCGAAUUAAAGUUGAAACUAAGCUAAUUAAAUGGUGGAUAUAUAAUUUGUUGUCGAUUAUGAUGGAAAUGACUAUUAAAUGUUUAAAAUUCCUCUUAUUUAAUUGAUGGCUGCUGUUGUUUAAAUGCUGCAAAUUGAAGUGUUUAAAUGCUGUAAAUUGAAGUGUUUAAAUGUUGUAAAUUGAAGUGUUUAAGUACUGCAAAUUGAAGUGUUUAACUACUGCAAAUUGAAGUGUUUAGUUGCUGGAAAUUGAGAUGUUUUAUCGCUGUAAUUGAGUUGUAUAAAUGUUGUUAAUCGAGAUGUUAAAGUGCUGCAAAUUGAAGUGUUUAAAUGCUGUAAAUUGAAGUGCUUAAAUGUUGUAAAAUGAAGUGUUUUAUGUACUACAAAUUGAAGUGUUUAGUUGCUGGAAAUUGAGAUGUUUUAUCGCUGCAAAUUGAAGUGUUUAGUUGCUGGAAAAGAGAUCUCUUUUCCUGCAAUUUUGCAGUUAACGGAUUUAGGUUUCAUGUUACAUUAUUUUGUAUGUUGUAGGUACACAUUAUGCACAGCCUUUUCAAUGACUUCUGCAUUAACAAACUAGAGUAGUGUACAAAAAUCCUUUAGACACUUUCAGACUAUUCAAAUCUAUAAUAUUUUUCCCCCCUGUUUGUAGGUUCAUUGGCAUCUUGUCCUGAUGAGAGUGUAGUUUAUGAAGCUUUAAACUUUACAUUGUCCUCCGGGGUAUUAGAAUUCCUAGUUCAAAACUUAGCAAUUUGUCUUUUAUAAAAGACCUUUCAAUUUUCAGUGUUGUUUAGGUUUGCAAACAAGAUGCUGUAUUUGGACUUGCUGUUAGUUUUGAUUCUAUAUUUUUAUUUUUAUUUUUAUUUUAAUAUUUAAUAACUUGAGUUCUAACUUUUGAAUUUUAAUUGUGUUAUUAAUUUAUUAAUUUAAAUUCUAAAUUUGAAUUCAUCAAAUUUUAUAUUUAAUUUUAAAGUUAAAAUUUUCAUAGAAAAUUUAAUUUGAUAAUGAAUUUUAAUAGAAAAUUUUUAUAUUUAUAUCAUGGAUAUUAUUCUCCUCAAUAUUUUGAUAAUGAAUUUUAAUUUUUCAUGACCUUUAUAAUCUUUUAUAAUAUAUAUAUUUUUAAAUUUCAUGACCUUUAGCGGCGUUUGUGGGAAAAGCGCCGUUAAAGGUCAUGGCUUUUAGCGGCGUUUGUAGGAAAAGUACCGCUAAAGGUCAUGACUUUUUAGCGGCGUUUGUGGGAAAAACACCGCUACAUGUCGCGACUUUUAGCGGCGUUUGUGGGAAAAGCGCCGCUAAAAGCCUAAAAAAACACCGCUAAAAGUCAGUUUUGCUGUAGUGGCAUGAGCUCGGGCAGGUGUUUCUGCCUCAGAUCUCAUAGCAGAAUCUCUCGUAGCACCUUGAUUACCACUCAUAUUUCCAGUGUUUCAGGGCGGUCUACCUCUAGUAGUAGUAUUACUUACUUUCAUCUGUUGAUCUCUUUCAGCUACAAACUUUUGUCCCCGAAGAUAAUGAUCAAGAGAUCCACAUUUAAAACAAGGUCCGCUCACUAACCUACAUUCACCAUUGUGUCGCUUAUUACAAUGCUUACAUUCAGGUCCAGCAUUUCUAACACUACCUACACUGGUAAUAGAUGUCGUCUGAGCAUUAGAGCUGAAAUGUCUCGCAUCUCUAUCUCUGAUUGAAUUCCUCAUGGAAGUAGUAGAACGAGGAUGAUAUUCUCUAGAUUUCUUUGAUGCUGACUGAUGUUAUUUGCCCACAAAUCUCUUUCUAAAAUUUCUAGCCUCAAAAUCAGCUUUUCUUUUCUUUUUGCAAAGCUCUUCGACUUUACAAGCUUUGUCAAACAAGACGACAAACUCUUUCAGCUCAAGAAUUCCAACUAAAAGUUUGAUUUCUUCAUUCAAUCCAUCCUCAAACCUUUUAUAGAUUAUAGCUUCAGAAGAAACACAUUCACAAGCAUAUUUGCUGAGUCGUACAAACUCUUUUUCAUAUUCUGUUACCGACAUAUGACCUUGUUUUAAUUCAAGAAAUUCUUUUCUUUUCUGAUCAAUGAACCUCUGACUGAUGUAUUUCUUUCUGAAUUCAACUUGAAAGAACUCCCAAGUAACUCUUUCUCGUGGAACUACGGAUAUCAAGGUAUUCCACCACUGAUACGCAGUGUCUCUCAGCAGUGAUAUAGCAUAUUUUAAACAUUCUUCAGGUGUGCAUGAUAGUUCAUUAAAUACCCGAAUCAUGUUCUCAAGCCAAAACUUGGCUUUCUCAAGGUCAUUGUUAACAGUGGCUCUGAAUUCCUCAGUCCUGUGUUUCCUUAUCUUAUCAACAAGUGGCUUAUUCAAUCGCAAAGGAUCCAUACCAUGAGGUAUUACAAGGAUCGGUUGGGGAAUAGAUGGGGGUGGAGGUUGCUGAACAGACGGGUUCGUAUGAAUGUACUGUGUGAACCACUCAUUCAUUAUUUGAAAGAAGACUUCUUUAGCCUCACCUCCAUGACUACUCGUCACAGGUGUAGAUUCAUAAGGCGCUGUCCCUUGACCGGGAGCUGGCGCGUUACUCUCAAGGUCAUCUGCUACAACUCGUUCGGGAUCCAUUACUAUAAAAAAACAUAUUUGAAAAUGUCAGGAGUCAUCACACUAUCAUAGUUUUAGAUAUGGAAUAUAUAUCUAGACUCACAUAAGCUAUCUUAGUCCUAUAAUCGACUAAACCAUAGCUCUAAUACCAAUAAAUGAAACACCCCUAACCCAUAUUCGUCGUUGGAGUAGGGUUACGAGGUAUUACCGAUCAAUACACAUCACUUAAUAAACAUAUCUCAUACAUUCAUACAUUCACACUCAAAUACUAUUUAACACAAUCAUCUUGUCCCUUUAUAAGGCUUACGAAGUCUUAAACAUGUUUUAGAAGUGGUUCGAGACUAAACUGAUAACAUAUGAAAAUUUUGGAAACUUAGAAAAAUUUCAACAUUUCAAGGGUCACACGCCCGUGUGAACAAGCCGUAUGUCUCACACGGCUAGUAGACACGCCUGUGUCUUAGGCCGUGUGAAAACAGGGCAUACAUACUAACUUGCAUCACACGGCUGAAGACACGCCCAUGUGCCAGGCCAUGCCAAUCCUGUAGGUUAUACUGACUUAUACAACACGGCCAAGUCACACGCCCGUGUGCUAGGCCUGGUGCCAAUUAGGGGCAUACUGACUUGUACCAUACGACCGGUCACACGCCCGUGCGUGAGACCGUGUGGAGCGUACUGACUUCAUUUUAAUAUCAACACCAGUGGACACACAGCCGUGUAACAUGACCGUGUGUCAAACACGGCUAAGACACAUGCCCGUGUCCCUACCCUUGUGGACAAACGUAGGCUAUUUGCAAAGCCAUUAUGCCACCCUAUUUUCAGAUGUAAACACAAGCAUAAAUUGUAACAUUUUUACAACCCAAUAAGCAACCAUUCCAUAACAUUUCAUGCACAUAUGAUACACAUUCCAUAUAGUAUUCAAUGCUUAACUAACAUAAUAUAUUUUUCCAUUCAUAAGCUUACCAUAACAAAACACAUUUGCAUAUUUCCAUUCCAUCAACUACUUGCCAAAACUUUCCAAAACAUAACCUAAACCAUAAUCUCAAGUAACCAUAUCUAUCAUCUUUAUAACUAGCCUAUACAUGCCAUAUUUACUUACAACGAAGUUCAAAAGUACCAAUCGACAACUGGAUAGUGUGAUGCGUAACUCUGAGUUGUCUGAAACAAGUGAUCUAUUGAACCUUUAUAAAACAUGGAAAAAGAAACAGAGUAAGCUUUAUAGCUUAGUAAGCCCAUAUAAUUCAGAAUUAAACUUACCAUUUAUACAAUUAAGGCAAUAAAUAAAGUAUACCCAACUCAAUUUCCAAAUGCCUAAACACAAACAUUCGUCAACAAGUUAGCCAUAUAAGUACAUGUACCAUCCAUUAUUUCAAUUCAAUACUCAAUACAUUGCAUUAUACCAAAUUUAUAUAUCAUGUACAACAUUAGUAACAUUUCAUUUUCGAUCAUGUAAACAAUAAUCCAUUUGCAAAUAAUAGCUCAUCAAUAUAAACAGUAUUUAUGCCCAUUGAGCCUAUUAAAAUGUCGAGGGAUACUCAGGUGAUAUACAUUACUUAUAAAUCAGUAAUCUAUCAAUUCAUUAUCAUUUUUCACUCUUUCGAGCUAUGAACAGUAAGCUCCUCCUGAGCUAAUGGACAGUAAGCUCUAUUGAGCUAAAACGGUAAGCUCUGACGAGCUGAAAAUAGUAAGCUCUUAUGAGCUGAAACAGUAAGCCCCAACGAGUUGAAAAUAGUAAUCUCUUACGAGCUGAUAUAUCGGUAAACUCAUUUAAGCUGCAGUGAGUCUGAAACACAUGCAGGAUCUCAACUAAAAUGGUAACCCUAGUGACAUGUCACUGGUAUCCUAUGUAUUCAUACUAUUCAAACAGGGCUCGGUAACCAUCAGAUUAUAGAUAUUCAUAUUCCAAGUAUAUCAAUUAUAUACAUACAUUUCAAAUAAUUACAAGUAUUUAAAAAUUUGAUUCUAAUUAUACGAACUUGCCUCGUAUAGCUCGGAUAGCAAAUAUCGACUAUUCGUCCAUUAUUUUUUUCCCCGAUCUAAUUCCGAUCUCAACUUAUCUUGAUCUAUAUAUUAUCAAAUUCAGUACAUUCAGUAUUCAAUCUAUUCAAUUUAGCCCAUAAUUCAUAUUUAGGAUAAUUUACACAUUUGCCCUUAAACGUUCACAUAUUUUCAAUUAGUCCUUAUCACAUAAAAUUGCAAAUUCAUGCAAUUUAGUACAACCUAUGCUUAGCCAAAUUUUAAUGGAGUCCCUAGUAGCCCAUAUCUUUUAUUUAUUCACAUAUUUAACAACCACAUUUCACAAUUUCACAAUUUAAUCCCUUUUUGACAUUUUUGUCAAAAAUCACUUUACAAUACUAGUUUAACUAUAAAAAAUUAUUCAAAAUCCAUCAUGAACUACCAAAUUACUCAAACAUUCAAUAAUGACAACAUGAGAAAUCUUUAGAAAUUUCAAAAUCUAAGGUAUGGGCUAGGUAGAAUACGAAGCAACGAUUACAAAAACAUAGAAAUCAUCAAAAAUCGAGCUAAAACCAUACCUUAGUUUACUCAUACAAUUACCGAAACUUAUUCUCCUUCUUUAAUGGUAUAUUCGGCCAUGGAUGUUGAAAAAUAAGAAAGAUGAUAGCUUAUUCAUCUUUUAAUUCUUUUACAUUUUCUAUUAUUAAUCAAUUUACUAUAUUAACCUGAAUAAUAACCUUUAAACAUUAACUAACCUUGUCCAAAAAUGUCCACUCAAUUAUCAAAUGGUUUAAUUACUAUUUAAGGCCACCAUAUUUAAAAACCAAAGCUAUUUAACACUUUUAUCUAAUAGAACAUGCAUUUUACAUUUUUCGCGAUUUAGUCGUUUUUCCUGAAUUAAGCAUUCAAAUAGUAAAAUUUCUUUACAAAACUUUCACGUAAUUAAUCUAUCAUGCUGUAAACCUUAUUAAAGUAAUAAAUUAAAUAUUUUAACUUCAAAUUUUUGGUCCCAAAACCACUGUUCAGAUUUGACUCAAAAACGGGCUGUUACAGUCUCUAGCGCCGAUCUUGUAAGUACUUAUGGACUUAGAAAACACUGUAGUUAGAACUCUCUAAAACUGUACUGAGUUAGUUAGAGACUAAAACCUUUGAAAUACUUCUGAACUUUUGAUAACUGAAGAAUAAAACAUCUAUUAAUAAACGCAGAAAUUGAUGCAUAAAAUUUUAAAAUGUAGAUCAAAUUCAAAUUACGAUGAGCGUAUGAGGAACACGUGGUCGAGGUUUUCAUGGGCGCGGCGAGCUCUAUAGGAGGCUGAAGCUGAGUCUUCCUCUCUUGGCAGUAUAUCGAAUCUAGAUACAAGUGAGACAUUGGUUUCACCUAUUACUAAGAUUGGGUCUCAAAGCCGCUUAGCUGGGGAUGACGCACUAUCCCAAUCUAUGUUGAGAGCUUUGGAGAGGAUCGCUGGACCCCAUUCUAGAUAUAGGGGUUGUGGGUUGGUAACUAAAUUACUCCAGUCCACUGGAGCUGAGUUGUUUAGGGGCAUCACAAGUGUCGCCCCUACUGUGGCCUAGUAUUGGUUAGAGGCCACUCAGAGAAUAUUAAACGACAGUAACUGCACUUAUGAGUAGAAACUGAAUAGUGCAAUUUCUGUGCUUCGCGACAAUGUUAUCAGUUGCAGAGGGUACUUGGAAUGACGAAAAUAUGUAGGUGUACACAGUUGCAACAAGUAAUAAAGUAACAAAUAAAUGUCGAGUUAUCCUACCCACAGGGACUGUGAAAAGAAUUAUUUAUGAAUGCAAUUUAAAACACUUAGGUGAAGAAAAAUAUUUUGAUUUGAGGAGGUGAUUAAAAGCAAAGAUUUUUAACUAAGUAAAACAAAUAAAGAGAAAAUAAAAGUUCCAAGGCAUGAUUUCAGAAGAUGAUUUUGUAACGCCCUGAAUUUGGGCCUAGAAAUAUUGGGCCUUGAGUAUGGGUCCCUAGGGAGGUUGUAUAUAAGUAGUUAAUUAUGAAAUGAAAUGACACAAUUGUGUAUCUGCUUCAAUGGUUAAGUGCUCUGUGAAGUGUCUGAGAAAUUUUGGGUUCAAACCUGGGCCUUAGCAAAAAUUUUGGUUUUAAGUGAAAAAAACCCUGGAUGCUUGGAUGAUGGCCUUUUAAAUUAUUGAGUUAAUUAAAUGACAGAAGGAAGCAUGUGGUUUAGUGGUUGUGGCGUCAUUAAGGUUGCAAGGGAGCCUGGGUUCAAGUCUUGGCUCUUGCAAUUUAUUUUAAUUUUUCUUUUAAAGGAACCUAGACUUUGGCCUAUAGACCUUAUAAUUAAUUGAGGAUAUUUUGUGACACAGAAAGAGCCUGUGGUAGAGUGGCAAGGUGGCGUGUUGUGUAACUAUGAGGUCUAAGGUUCAAGUCCUGAGAUGCGCAAUGGAGUAUUUAUUUUGCUGUUUAAGCUGUGUAGGAGGUGGAGAUGGACUGGAAGUCUGUGGUUGAAGUGGUCAUAAAAAAAGAAAAAUAAGGAAUUUUCCUAAUGGUUGAAAGUAAUCCCACAUCGGGAGGCUAACAUAAGUAUUGGUGAGAAGCUGGAUUUAAAUAGAGUGAACCAGAUGAGUUGGUGAGGGGGGAAGUGAUUAAGACUCAAUGCAGGAUGUGCCAAAGUUGGUGAUCGUGGACUUCGACGCGUUCUCAUAAACAAGUGUGUAUCCACGCCCUUCUUUGUUGGAAAUCGGCAAAAGCCGAAAGCUGAAACUUUGGCAUUUGAGGCCUCACGAGCGUGUGACAGCUUGUGGGGUAAAUCGAGCCCAAAAACCAUGGGCGAUAGACUAUAGACGAGCGUUCUCGUGUACUGGGCCUUGAUAGGCCUCAACGGGCCAAAUGGGCCCAAUGGGCUUGCUUGUGUAAAUCUAAUUGAUAGGUGGGAAGUAGUUGGGCUAGUCAUGUCAUGUGCAUGGCAUAGGCCGUUAAGGGCUUCGUUGGGCCAAAAUGGGCCGGGAGGGCCCAAUGGGAUGUGGGCCCCACACAAAUUAAAUCCAUGGUAAGUGAUAAAGUUUGGACUGGGCUAUGUAGGUCACAUAGCCGUAGCUAAGUGGGCCACAUGAGCGUGUGGGCCCACUUGGGCCGAAUAAUGGGUCUUAGGCCCAUUUACAUCAUUAGGUCUGCUUAGGUUACUUAAGUCGCUCGAGGCAACUGUGGACCUUCCGAGAGGUCGAUUAUCUUUACUGAGACCCCAGAGGGUAAAAUGACCAAAAUACCCCUAAAGGGUAAAAAUUACUAUUCUACCCCUAAUGGGUGGAAAUAACUGUUAUACCUUACAGGUAGGUUAAUUGAUGAGUGUAUGAUAUAUGCAUGACCGUAUCUGAGUAUGAAACUUUGCAUACACGAAAUAUUAUGACAUGACAUACUGCAUUGGGGUUGGGAUUUUGAUUUGGAGGAAGUACUGUUCUGGUGGCUUUGCCACGUAUUCUGAUAUUAGUAGGUGCGCCACGUUUACCACUAUUAGUAGCUUUGUUGCGUUAUUAGUAGCAGCUAUGCUGCGAUAUUGGUGAAUUGGCUGGGUGGGUCGAUUUAAUCCCCACAUGGUGAGUUGGUUGGUAUGGGUGGUGAGCAAGAUGGAUUGGGUUGGGUUUUACACUUGUAUUGUAAUUAUACUAUUUUGGGCAUAGGCCCACAUUGUUAUUGUAUAGGGUUAGGCUCAGACUGUACUGUUAAUGAACAGAGCUCAGGCCCAGACCGUUACUGUAUGCACUGUUACUGUUGACUGAUAGGGGAUUACACACUGAGUUUUCGUAAACUCACCAUUCUUUUAACUGUGCAGGUGAUCCCUAGCCUUAGAUGAUUUAGAGCCGCGAGGGACUCAGUGAUGGCUACACGUCCGCAGAUUGGUUGUUAAUAACUCAAUUUCUUUACGCUUUCAUAUUUGGGUUUUAUUUAUGUAAUAAGGCCAUUUGGGGGUUUUUAACUUUUAAUGGACUUUUGAUUACUUAUAUUAAACUGCUAGUCUAGGAAAACUCGAGUUUUCAAACUGUUCACGGUUUUUUAAAGAACACGAGCUUUAAACAACAAAGUUUUCAAAAGAGCUUGCGCGAUUUAAGGUGAAUUAAUAUCCCAAAGGCAAAUAUUUUGAGCAAACGUAUGUGACGAGAUGAUUUGCUAACCCCGUACAAAAAGUUUUACUUUUAGAAAUAAACUUUUACCGACAACUCGAUUUUUGAACGACGCUUUGGUGCAACACACCAGAUUCGGUUGUAGAGCCUAGGCUGGGUUUCGGGUGUUACAGAGUUAAUCAAGAUGACAUAAUUGUGUUAGAUUAAUUACAUUUCUUAACUUAGAAUUAUUAAACUCAAGUUCAUGUUGUUACGAAUAAAUUCACAACAACUUGGUAAUUUACUAACUUAUUAACAUACUUACCUACCAAAAUCCAUUUAUCUCUUGACUAUAUCUCUAUGUCAAUUCAACCGAUUAAACAAAAUUCAAUAAGUAAAUGUGUUAAUGCAGAUACAUACAUAUGAAAUUAAAAUAAUCUCUUGUACAUAUCUCUAUGCCAAUUCAAACAAUUAAUUGAAUCUUAUAAGCACAUAAAAAAUUACGUGAGGUAACAAUAUAUUUCUACCUUGAAAUAAUUUAAUCACAAUAACCAUGCAAGUUAUGCAAGACUAAUGUAUUGUUAGAUACCAUUGCUAAUUUAACCCUUAGCUACCUUAGAUGAUUAAAAAUGCAUUGAUUAAGUAUUGUGUCAAUUAAUUACAAUUUUAGUUUAUUUAAAUAAUUAAUUCAUUAGUUACCCUACAAUUGUAAUGCAACUAUAACUUAGUCAUGGUUUUACUUAAUCAAACAUCUUAUCCAGGCAUAUAACAUCAGAAACACAAUUUUAGCCGAAAUGAAAGCAAGACCGUUGUUUUUAUAACAGAUUAUUAAUGCUCAAAAAGUUGAUAAUGAGAUAAUAGCAAAACGAGCUUAGUGUGAUUUGGAUUUUGAUUCUUAAUAUCGAAUAGAUAAUGACGAUUUUUUGAGAUUUUGAGGUUGGUUUUAUGUUUUGAGAAAUUUAAAGUUAAUUCAAAUGAUUUUGAACAAAGCUUAGAACAGAUGUUUAUCUGUACAUCUAGGUAGUACGAAAAUGUAUAAUGAUCGAAAACAUCAUUACUUGUAACACCCCUCGCCCGUAUCCCUCGCCGGAAUAGGGUUUGAGGUGUUACCCAACUUAAACUCAGUCAAUCACACAAAAACCGUGCUGAAAAAUUUCAAUCAAUUUAAAACUUUUCUUUUCACAUGUAAUCUGUCCAUAUAUGGGCUUACGAGGCCCAAAACAUCACUAGCCAACAUAGGCCUAUUUUCAUGGCCAAAACACUUUAUCAAUACAAGCCACCACCUUUGGCUAAAUUAUAAUAUCAUAUACUCAACAUUAAAACCCUAUAGAUGCCAAAAACUCGAAAUACUAGGAUUUACUUACACCAAUAGCGUGAACUCGACAGUGUGAUAAUAUCUUCGGUGAACUCCAACCCGAGCAAGUAACUGGAGCCAACAAUCUAUAAAACAAAGUACAUAGCAAACGGAGUAAGCUUUCAUAACCUUAGUAAGUUUUAAGCAGUGCAAACAAUUAAAUGCAAUUAUACUUCGAUUAUUCAAUUUCUCAAAAGGCCAUUUUCUAGGUAUAUUACCAUUUGGCCGAAUAUACACAAGCACAUAAUGUAGAUUCAGCAUUCUUAUAACAUUUAAUUUGAAUUCAUAAAACAUAAAUAAAUCAAAUACUUUCACACCUUGACCGAAUGUAUCAUGGUCAUAGAUAUAGUUAUAACAUUUAUUCACAUAUAUAUCAUAUUAUACACUUGUGAUUCCAUUCAAAUCGAACUUACAUAUGAGUACAUAGUGCGUACCUGGCCCACUUAACGUAUUGAAUGUAUUCAUUUGUCAAACCAAUACGAGGUGCCUUAACCUUAGACUUUUAUUCAUUCACCAGCAUUUCGCCUGCUAGGCUCGAGGCCUGAUAUCAUUUCACCGGUAUUAUAGCCUGCUAGGCUCGAAAGGCCCGAAUAAUGUCUCACCGGCAUAAUAGCCUGCUAGGCUCAAAGGCUCGAAUAUAAUACCAGCACUAGGCCUACUGGGUUUAACCCGGAUAUAAUACCAGCACAAAGCCUGUGGGAUUUAACCCGGAUAUAUUACCAGCACAAAGCCUGCGGGAUUUAACCCGGUUAUAUUACCAGCACGAAGCCUGCGGGAUUUUAAGCCCGGAUAUCAUAUUUAGAUAAACAAUUCACCUGUUCUUUCCCACUUUCAUAACUUAUACUUCAAUCAUGUAUAACUGAAACACAUAUCUAUGAACAAAGAUUUUCAUCCUCUCAACCACAUAGGGUUUAAUUGCACAUUGGAACACAUAUCUUAGUACAUCAGUUAAUAGUAUCAAAUUCGACUAGAUAUGCUAGUCACAUACGGCUCAUAACUUUAAUUUAAUGUUCAUUCAACACAAAGAACAUAUGUAUAUUUUCACUGAAGCAUCAUCUCAAUACAAUACAUCUUGCUCACUAAUUCGUACGCAACCAUUCAAAUUAGCAAUUAUAAGAUGGUUCCGCACAUAGUCCAUCCUUAUCGAUAAUUUAUGAUGGUUUUACCCUUACUCACAUAUAUGACGUAGGCAUUUUCACCUAUGCUUCUCAAUUCACAUUCAUGAUUCAAUUCCAAUCGAUUUAACAUAUAUAAGUACAUAUCGUAUACCUGACCAACUUAAUGUAUUGAAUGAAAUCGAUUGUCGAUUUAACACAAGGUCUCAUAGUUGAACAUAAACAUGAAACCAUUUCUUAUAUGUUCGAUUCACAUCAAUCAUCAAAUUCAUUUAAUUCACAUGUACUUAAUUAGGUUGUUCGUACCUGAAUAAUUUACUUUACGGAACGAAUCCACAUAUCGUAUUAGCCCAUAGUCUUAUAGCACCACACUUUUAAUAGUUUACCGACAAUUUGCCUGCUAGGUAAUAACCUGAUUUCAUCACCGGCCAUAAGCCUGCUAGACCUUUAAAUCUGAUGUCAUUUCAUCCGACAUUACGCAUGCUAGGUUUGAAACCUGGAUGUUUAUUAUAAUGCAUAACUUAUAUCAUCGAUCACUAACAGUUACCUCAUCGAAGUUCACAUUUAAUCACUUUACCAAGCCACAUUUGGCUACCACAAAAGACUCAUAAUAAUAAUUUUAUACACAUCAUGGUUUCCUUUAGAUAUUUAAUAAUCACAAAUCGUGAUAUCUCUGCCAGCACAUAUACGGCAUAGUUUAUUCAUUGUAACACUCAUUUAGUGCAUCAAAUUUCCAAAUCCAAUUCAACUCAAGCAUAAUAGCCAUAAUCGGCUUAUAGCCUUAAAUCAUUACAUAUUCGGCACAUUAACUAAAUAAAAUUUACAUUCUCUUUGCCAUAUUAAUUUAACUCUUAGGCAUAUAAAAAGGAAUCAAGCUUAAACACUUAAGAACUUACCUCGAAUGUUGCCGAAUGAUUACAGUGGCUAUUUGAUUACUUUCUCUUUUUCCUUAUCCAAAUUUGCCCCUCUAUGCUCUUGAGCUUAAAUUCAACAAUUUUAAACUUAGUCAUUAUUCGACUAUUCAAGCAUCACUUUCAAAAUAUAAUAUAUAUGACUUCCACACCUACAGAUCAUAGUAAGCUUAUAAGAAAUCAAUAAGCAACUCAUUAACAAAUUUUUUUGUCAAUGUUUACCACAUAAACAAAAUUUUACUGUAAGCUGUUGUCCUGAGCAAUAGUCACUAAAUCAUUUAUAACUAGAGCUACUAAACCCCAAAUCAAUUUACGUUAAUUUUCCCUGAAAAUAAACUCAUAUAUCUUCUACCCAUAAAAUUUUCAGAAUUUUUGGUUUUUCCAAUCAAUACCAUAUUUUUCUUAAAGUUUCCCCUAUUUCACUGUUUGACUAAUCUGAACACUCUUCACUACGAAUCAAAUUUCUCAUUGUACAAAAUUCAAAAUAUGUUCUCGUUUAUUUCAUUUGAAACUAGACUCAUUAAGGAGUCUAAUCAUAUAAAUUUAAUCUUAUGAUCAUUUUUUUACAAUUUAUAAUGAUUUUAUAAAAAUAGAACAGAAGAUCUAGAAGUCAUUUUGACCCUGUCCCACAUCACUUCAAAUAUCUCAUUAUCGGAAAAUUUUUUGCUUACAGGUUUCUUUUAUAAGAAAAUAAACUCAUUAAGCUUUAAUUACAUAAUUUAUUCAGCUUCUAACUCAACUUCUACAAUUUAUGGUGAUUUUCCAAAAUCACGUUACUGCUUCUGUCCCAAGCAGAUUUAUUACCAAUUCAUUCUUUCACACAUUCUUUGCAUGCAUGUUAUUUAAACAUGCAUAUCACCAAUCAAUCAUCACAUAUCUAUAAUUUCACUUAAGAAUAAUCUCUAUUUCAUCAUUUUAAAACAUUCAACAUCAAAAUUUCUUUGAUUUUCAUACUAUAGCCGAAUGUAUAGCUCAUUAAAAAGAAAUUUAUUCAUGUUCCCUUUCGACCAUAGUACACACAUCAUGUUAGCCAAUUUUCCCACUUAGCAUCUAAUGCACAUAUAUGCUCAUUUGUUUGGCUCAACUUCACCUAUCUACCAUUAUUCAUCAAAAGAACAUGAAACAACAGCCAUUCUCUUUAACAUCUUCCAUAGUCGAAUACUCAUAUCACCACCAACUUCAAAAUUUUGGCAUGGGCUAAGUAAGGGACUUAGUAUCUAGCUUAAACUAUGCUAAAAUUUCAAAAACUAACAUGCAUUUCUUACCUUAAUUCUAACUCAAAGGUGACCAAAUGGCUGAGCUUUUUCCUUUCUUCCUCUCUUAGUUUCGGUUAUCAAGAACAAAGAUGGACAAGCUUUUUCCCUUUCAUCCUUUUGUUAACUUAUUUAUUCUUAUUUUAUGAUAACAAAGCCAUUAAAUUGAUAGUGCUAAAUUUAAAAUUCACAUUCUAUUCAUUCCCAUCAUGAUGGCCGGCCACUACACAUAAAAUGGGAGGUUUGACAUGCAAAUCCUCCUAUUUUGCUCUACAAAUUAUUUGGCCAUUACAAAUUAGCCUAUAGCAUUUUCAGAAAUUUUCACAUAAGUCCUAUUUCAUAAUUUCACUCACAAUUGACAAAAUCAAAGCAUGAAAUUUUCACACAUGCACUUUCACAUGUAAUAAUCACAGAAUAUAACAUUUAAUUAUUUUUGUGACUCAAUUUUGUGGUCUCGAAACUACUUUCUGACUAGGGUCAAUUUAGGGCUAUCACAUUACUGGUGGUCUGGAAUGAAAAGAGAUAUCUCUGACUUUGUUUCGAAAUGUUUGAUCUGUUAGCAAGUUAAAGCUGAAUAUCAGGUGUCAUCAAGUUUGUUACAAUUGAUUAUGAUUACAGAAUCGAAAUUAGAUAGAAUAAUGAUGGAUUUUGUUUUGGGUGUGCCUUUAUCUCCGAGAAAGAAAGGUGCGAUUUGGGUUGUAGUUGACCGAUUAACGAAAUCAACUCAUUUUAUUCCAGUAUGAUCUGAUUACUCGCUUGAUAAAUUAGCUGAGUUAUACAUUUUCGACAUUGUAAGAUUGCAUGGGGUGUCAUUGUCUAUUGUGUCAGAUAAAGAUCCGAGAUUCAUUUCACGAUUUUAGAAAAACUACAAGAGGUUUUAGGUAUGAAAUUACACUUCAGUACUGCUUUUCACCCACAGACAAAUGGUCAGUCUGAGCGGAUUAUUCAUAUUCUCGAGGAUAUGUUGAGCUGUUACAGUCUUGAGUUUUAAGGUACGUGGAAACAGUAUCUGCCAUUGAUUGAAUUUUCUUAUAAUAAUAGUUUUCAAUCGAGCAUUAACAUGACACCGUACGAAGCCUUAUAUGGUAGAAAAUGUCGUACACCUUUGUAUUAGAAUAAGCUAUGUGAGAAUAAGAUACAUAGGGUUGACUUGAUAAAAGAGACUGAUUAGAAAGUGAAAGUGAUUCGUGAAAGUUUGAAAGUAGCUUCCAAUCGUCAGAAAUCAUAUGCAGAUUUGAACUGAAAAGAUAUUGAAUUUGAGAUUGGUGAUAAAGUGUUCCUAAAAGUGUCUCCGUGGAAGAAAGUGCUUGGUUCGGUGAAAAGGCAAAUUGAGUCCUAGGUUCAUCAGACCGUAUGAUAUUAUAGAGCGUCUCGGGCUAGUUGCGUAUAGAUUGCUAUUGCCACCUGAAUUAGAAAAGAUUCAUAAUGUGUUUCACGUAUCGAUGCUUCGAAGAUACAAAUCUGAUCCCUCACAUGUGAUUUCCCCAUUUGAGAUAGAAAUUUAGUCUAAUAUGACUUAUAAAGAAGAGUCAAUUCGUAUAUUGGCUCGCGAGGUUAAAGAAUUAAGAAAUAAGAAAAUUCCGUUAGUAAAAAUAAUGUGGCAUCGACACGGUGUUCAAGAGGCUACGUGGGAGGUGCUAUAAGACAACAAUAUCUGAAUCUGUUCAACGGUAAGAUUUUCGGGGAUGAAAAUCCAUAAGGGGGAGAGUUGUAACAUUCGGGUUUAGACCCUAGUCAGAAUAGUGGUUUCAAGACCACAAAUCUGAGUCAAAAAAAUUUUAAUAUUAUUUUUCGUGUUUUCAGUAUGUGGUUAAGCAUGUGUGAAAGUUUUGUAUAAAAAUUCAAUCAUUUGUGUGCUUAAUUUGAAAAAAAGGACUAAACUGAAGAAAAUAAAAAGUUGUGUGAUAUUUAGUUAAGUGCCGAAUUGAUGUGUCUCUUUAAAUGUGAGGUCCUUAUGAGGUUAAUAGACCAUUUGAGUAAUGGAUGGACAAAAUGCCUUUAGUUAAUUGAAUUUUAAUGUUAUUUAAUUAAGGGCAUAAUAGUAAACUAUGUAUAAAUGAUAUAAUGUAACACCCUGAAUUUGGGCCUAGAAGUAUUGGGCCUUGAGUGGGGGUCCGUAAGGAGGUUGUAUAUAGGUAUUUAAUUGUGCAAUGAAAUGAAACAAUUAAAUGUUUACUUUAGUGGUUAAUGGCUUUGAGAAGUGUUGGAGAAAUCUUGGGUUCAAACUUAGGCUUCAGCAAAAAUUUUGGUAUUAAGUGAAAAAAACUUGGAUGCUUGGAUGAGGGCCUUUUAAAUUAUUGUGUUCAAUAAAUGACACAAUGAGGAAUGUGGUCUAGUGGAACUAGCGUAAUUAAGGUUGUAUGGGAGCCUGGGUUCAAGCCUUGGCUCUUGCAGUUUAUUCUGUUUUUUUUAAGGGAACCUGGACUUUGGCCUUUAGACCUUAUAAUUAAUUGGGGAUAAAAUAUGACACAAAAAGAGCCUGUGGUGAAGUGGCAAUGUGGCGUCAUAGAGUUGGCAAGGAGGUCCAGGGUUCGAAACUCAUGGCAAUCAAAGAGCAUUUAUUUUGCUAAUAGGGGGCGGCAAGAGUUGGUGUUGAAUUUAAACUCUGAUAUCGGAAGGAUCCCACAUAAGAGUGGAUGUGAAGCUGGCUUUAAAUAGAGAGAACCAUGAGGAGAGUAAAGGUACCUUUCUUGGCUGAUCCCUUUCGCUGUAUGGUGUGCUUGUUUGGGUUGGGCGUCGACUAAGAGUGCUCAGAGCGUGGAUUAACUCCAGUGUCUUAUUCUCGCUACUCUAGCUGUAGGACGGCUACUUCGGGCCGCGAUGGGCCGAAAGAGGUUAUGUGGGCCUAAUGGGCCUACGAGCCCAAUUGGAUAAGUUGUUUGAUUGUGUAGUAAAUAUUGGAUUAGGCUAGGUGAAUCUCAUUUUUGUGGCUAGAUUUGGGCUAAAAGGGCCACACGAGCGUAUGGGCCCAUUUGGGCCGAGAAUAGGCUUUAGGCCCAUUCGUAUUGUUAUCCCUGUUUAGAAUACUUUAGUUUACCAAAUUACUGAAAUGCCCUCGAUUUGUAGAAUUACCAUUUUACCCUCAAUUUAUAGAAUUACCUUUCACCCUCGAUUUACAAAAUUACUGUUUUACCCUCGAUUUAUAAAAUUACCAUUUUACCCUUGAUUUACAGAAUUACCGUUUUACCCUCGAUUUACAAAAUUACCAUUUUACCCUCAGUUUACAAAAUUACCGUUUUACCCUCAAUUGUGAAAUUACUAAAAUACCCCUGUAUGAUAGAAUUACCAAAAUACCCCUAGUUUGUAAAAUUACCAAAAUACCCUUAGUUUGUAAAAUUACCAAAAUACCACUGGUUUGUGAAAUUACAGAAAUACCCUCAAUUUGUAAAAUUACCAAAAUACCCCUAAUUUACAAAAUUACAGAAACACCCUUGACUUUCUAAAAAUUAUAAAAAUACCAUUGGUUUACAAAAUUACUGAAAUACCCUUGGUUUGUAGAUUUACCAAAACACCCUUGUAGGAUGAAAUGACUAAAAUACCCCUAAUAGGUAAAAAGACCGUAAAGCCCCUAUAGGGUAAAGUACCGUAAUACCCCUGUAUGGUAAAAUGACGAAUAUGCCCUUAUGUUCCGUAUGACUGAUGUGCUUAGGAUUUACAUAUAUUGAUAUUGAAUUAGUUAAGUUUGAAUGAUAGGUGGUGGUUAUCGUAGGUGAUUGAUUUUGGAAACGUUUCAACUUCAACCCAUAACAGGUGUGUAAUAACCCUCGCAGUAGCUUAGAUUAAUAUUCGCCGAAAAGCCGAAAUGCUAAAAUUUCAGUAUUUCGGGAACUUGUGAUUUUGCCUUUGCUUAAAGAUGCGAUAGAUACGGUAUGAUCGGGGUUUGGAUCGAUUGAGCAAGUAAGAGCACAAUUUUGUGCACGAUGGAAAGUUGGGCCUCAAUGGGCUAAAAUCGGGCCCAAUGGGCUUUCAGGCCCAUUUGGGUAAAACUGAUAGAAAAUGGAAUCUAGAAAAGUUGCAUGUUGACACGGUUAGUACUGUUGUAAAAUUUGGAUUAAGCAGGCCUAGUGGGCUAAAUCAGCAUUCGUAGGGCCCAUUAAGGGUUUUGGGCCCAAAAGCUUGAAUUUGAUAAAGUGGGUUAAAGAUCAUUGUUUAAACACUCGAAAAUAUUAAUAAUUGUUAAUAAACAUAGAAAACCCUGAUAUUUGGUAAAAUUAUGAAAUUACCCUUAUAAUAUGAAAAAUGACUAUUUUACCCUUGUGGGCAAGUGACUGACCUGGACUGUGUGGUUGAUGGAUUUGAUUGUGAAUAUAUGUUGGUGAUAUGAAUGACUUGACUGUGAUUGUUUGAUUCAAAUAUGGGUAUGACAUUCUGCAUACAUGACAUGUUGCAUGGGUUGGGUUUUAUAAAUGGAGGAAGUGCUAAAAGGGCUAUGCCCCAGUUUACUGAAAAGGGCUUUGCCCCAGUUUAUCAAAAAUUGCUUUGCCCCAAUUAUUAAAAGAGGCUAGGCCUCCAGUUAUAUGAUAAAGCAGCUAUGCUGGCAGUGGAGAGUUUGGUUAGGUGGGUUGAGUUAUUCCCCACAUGGUGUGUUGGUUGGUACGGGUGGAGAGUAGCGGAUGGUGGGUUGAGUAGUCUCCCCAAAUGGGCUUGCAUACAUUCAUUGAUAUUUCAUGUGAUAUUGAAAUGGGCCUAUGGGCCAUACCGCUUACAGUAAAGGUUCGACCAGUGAUAUGAUUUAUGAAAAGGCUUCGGCCCAGUAUAUGUCGAGACUAAAUUAGGGCUUAGGCCCAUACUGCUACUGUUUAAGGGCUAAGGCCCAGACUGUACUGUUACUAAAUAGGACUUUGGCUCAGAUUAUACUGACACUGUGUUAUUCACUGUUUGUUUGUUGUUGGGGAUUACACACUGAGGUUUCGUAAACUCACCCCGUUUCUAACUAUGCAGGUAAUCCCUAAGCUUAGAUGGUUUGGAGCUGUGAGGGACUCGAAGAUGGCCACACUACUGUUUCUGUUUCUUUUAAUUGCAAUUAGAUUUCGUUUUGGGUUUUUUUUAUGUAAUAAGGCCGUUGGUGGGUUUUAAGUUUUAAUUUGGAUUGUGAUUUCUUAUACUAAACUGCUAGUCUAGGAAAACUCGAGAUUUCAAAAUGGCAUGAUUUUUCUAAGGAAUACGAGCUUCCAACAACAAAUUUUUCAAAAUGCUUCCGCGAUUUUAAAUGACGUAAUCUACCAAAGGCAAACAAAUUGGUAAACGUUUUGAUGGGAACUGUGGUUUAAUAAUAAAUUUAGAUUCAGUAAUGGAUUUUCACCGGAAAGAUCAAAUUUGAAAAAUGGUUUGAUGUGACGCACCAGAUUCGGCCAUAACGUCUAGGCCGGGUUUGGGUUGUUACAUUUAGUGGUAUCAGAGCCAGAUUACAAAACUCGACUGUGGUAUGGGUAGCAAAAAAUUAUUGUAAUUUUUUUAUUUUUUUUUCAAAAUUAGGGUUUGAAAAGGGUUUUUCUAAAAUAUUGUUUUGAAAUUUAUCAACGAAACUUGACUUGUUUCUGAAAAGAUGUUACUAGAACUGUGGCACACCGAGUCUCCAGCACCAAAUCUGUAAGUUCUCUAACUUUGUUUACUGUUAUAGAUUGAAAUGCUAUAUUGAGAAACCACUAUAGAUAGUAGCACUAUACUGGAACUCUCUAGUUAGAGUAAACUGUAACGCUUGAAUUUAGAUUUAGUAUUUAUUUGGUGUGUGUUCUGGAAAUGUAGAAAUUGGUUGCAUGUGAAAUCUAUCCGCUCCGAUGGACAAAUGUCUUGGGUGUAUGUUAGUAUUAUUAGUAUCAAAGUGUGUAGCGGAAGUGCGGUGGUGUAGUCUAAGAGUGGAAAAUUUCGAGGACGAAAUUUCUUUAAGGUGGUAGAAUUGUAACACCUCGAAUUUGGGCCUAGAAGUACUGGGCCUUGAGUGGGGGUCCGUAAGAAGGUUGUAUAUAGGUAUUUAAUUGUGCAAUGAAAUGAAACAAUUAAAUGUUUGCUUUAGUAGUUAAUGGCUUUGAGAAGUGUUAGAGAAAUCUUGGGUUCAAACUUGGGCUUUAGCAAAAAUUUUGGUAUUAAGUGAAAAAAACUUGGAUGCUUGGAUGAGGGCCUUUUAAAUUAUUGUGUUAAAUAAAUGACACAAGGAGCAAUGUGGUCUAGUGGAAGUGGCAUAAUUAAGGUUGUAUGGGAGCCUGGGUUCAAGCCUUGGCUCUUGCAAUUUAUUCUAUUUUUUUUAAGGGAACCUGGACUUUGUUCUUUAGACCUUAUAAUUAAUUGGGGAUAAAAUAUGACACAAAAAGAGCCUGUGGUGAAGUGGCAAGGUGGCGUCAUAGAGUUGGCAAGGAGUUCCAGGGUUCGAAACUCUUGGCAAUCAAAGAGCAUUUAUUUUGCUAACAGGGGGCGGCAAGAGUUGGUGUUGAAUUUAAACUUUGAUGUUGGAAGGAUCCCACAUUGGGAAGCUAACAUAAGAGUGGAUGCGAAGCUGACUUUAAGUAGAGAGAACCAUGAGGAGAGUAAAGGUAUCUUUCUUGGCUGAUCCCUUUCGCUGUAUGGCAUGCUCGUUUGGGUUGGGCAUCGGCUAAGAGUGCUCAAAGCGUGGAUUAACUCCAGUCUCCUAUCAGGUGUGUAUUUUCUCGCUACUCUAGUUGUAGAAUGGCUACUUCGGGCCUUGAUGGGCCGAAAGGGGCCAUGUGGGCCCAGUGGGCCUACGAGCCCAAUUGGAUAAGUUGUUUGAUUGUAUAGUAAAUAUUGGAUUAGGCUAGGUGAAUCUCAUAUUGUGGCUAGAUUUGGACUAAAAGGGCCACACGAGCGUGUGGGCCUAUUUGGGCUGGGAAAGGGCUUUAGGGCCAUUCGUAUUGUUAUCCCUGUUUAGAAUACUUUAGUUUACCAAUUACAGAAAUGCCCUCGACUUGUAAAAUUACUAAAGUACCCUUGAUUUAUAGAAUCACUGUUUUACCCUCGAUUUACAAAUUACUGUUUUACCCUCGAUUGUGAAAUUAUUGAAAUACCCCUAUAGGGUAGAAUUACCAAUAUACCACUAGUUUGUAAAAUUACCAAAAUAUCACUGGUUUGUGAAAUUACCGAAAUACCCUCAAUUUGUGAAAUUACCAAAAUACCCCUGAUUUACAAAAUUACAGAAAUACCCUUGACUUUUUAAAAAUUAUAGAAAUACCAUUGGUUUACAAAAUUACUGAAAUACCCUUGGUUUGUAGAUUUACCAAAACACCCUUGUAGGAUGAAAUGACUAAAAUACCCCUAAUAGGUAAAAAGACCGUAAAGCCCCUAUAGGGUAAAGUGACCGUAAUACCCUUGUAUGGUAAAAUGACGAAUAUGCCCUUAUGUUCCGUAUUACUGAUUUGCUUAGGAUUUACAUAUAUUGAUAUUGAAUUAGUUAAGUUUGAAUGAUAGGUGGUGGUUAUCGUAGGUGAUUGAUUUUGGAAACGUUUCAACUUCAACCCAUAACAGGUGUGUAAUAACCCUCGCAGUAGCUUAGAUUAAUAUUCGCUGAAAAGCCGAAAUGCUAAAAUUUCGACAUUUCGGGAACUUGUGAUUUUGCCUUUGCUUAAAGAUGCGAUAGAUACGAUAUGAUCAGUGUUUGGAUCGAUGGAGCAGGUAAGAGCGCAAUUUUGUGCACGAUGGUAAGUUGGGCCUCAAUGGGCUAGAAUUGGGCCCAUUUGGGUAAAACUGAUAGAAAAUGGAAUCUAGAAAAGUUGCAUGUUGACACGGUUAGUACUGUUGUAAAAUUUGGAUUAAGCAGGCGUAGUGGGCCAAAUCAGCAUUCGUAGGGCCCAUUAAGGGUUUUGGGCCCAAAAGCCUGAAUUUGAUAAAGUGGGUUAAAGAUCAUUGUUUAAACACUCGAAAAUAUUGGUAAUUGUUAAUGAACAUGGAAAACCCUGAUAUUUGGUAAAAUUAUGAAAUUACCCUUAUAAUAUGAAAAAUGACUGUUUUGCCCUUGUGGGCAAGUGACUGACUUGGACUGUGUGGUUGAUGGAUUUGAUUGUGAAUAUAUGUUGGUGAUAUGAAUGACUUGGCUGUGAUUGUUUGAUUCAAAUAUGGGCAUGACAUUCUGCGUACAUGACAUGUUGCAUGGGUUGGGUUUUAUAAAUGGAGGAAGUGCUAAAAGGGCUAUGCCCCAGUUUACCGAAAAGGGCUUUGCCCCAGUUUAUCGAAAAGGGCUUUGCCCCAGUUAUUAAAAGAGGCUAGGCCUCCAGUUAUAUGAUAAAGUAGCUAUGCUGCCAGUGGAGAGUUUGGUUGGGUGGGUUGAGUUAUUCCCCACAUGGUGUGUUUGUUGGUACGGGUGGAGAGUAGUGGAUGGUGGGUUGAGUAGUCUCCCCAAAUGGGCUUGCAUACAUUCAUUGAUAUUACAUGUGAUAUUGAAAUGGGCCUAUGGGCCAUACCGCUUACAGUAAAGGCUUCGACUAGUGAUAUGAUUUAUGAAAAGGCUUCGGCCCAGUAUAUGUCGAGACUGAAUUAGGGCUUAGAAGCCCAUACUGCUACUGUUUAAGGGCUAAGGCCCAGGCUGUACUGUUACUGAAUAGGGCUUUGGCCCAGAUUGUACUGACACUAUGUUAUUCACUGUUUGUUUGUUGUUGGGGAUUACACACUGAGUUUUCGUAAACUCACCCCGUUUCUAAUUGUGCAGGUAAUCCCUAAGCUUAGAUGGUUUGGAGCUGCGAGGGACUCGGAGAUGGCCACACUACUGUUUCUGUUUCUUUUAAUUGCAAUUAGAUUUCGUUUUGGGUUUUUUUUUAUGUAAUAAGGCCGUUGGUGGGUUUUAAGUUUUAAUUUGGAUUGUGAUUUCUUAUACUAAACCGCUAGUCUAGGAAAACUCAAGAUUUCAAAAUGGCAUGAUUUUUCUAAGGAAUACGAGCUUCUAACAACAAAGUUUUCAAAAUGCUUCCGCGAUUUUAAAUGAUGUAAUAUACCAAAGGCAAACAAAUUGGUAAACGUUUUGAUGGGAACUGUGGUUUAAUAAUAAAUUUAGAUUCAGUAGUGGAUUUUCACCGAAAAGAUCAAAUUUGAAAAAUGGUUUGAUGUGACGCACCAGAUUCGGCCAUAACGUCUAGGCUGGGUUUGGGGUGUUACAUAUAAUUAACAAAAAAAAUGCUUAAAAUUAGUCAUUUAUGUUCAUCCUUGCUAAAAAUACAAAGAAAAAGAAAAAAAAUAAGCUUACUAGGGUUCGACACUUUGACUACUUGAUUAAGGUAUGAUUUUUGAUCCGUUUUUGAUAAUUUCUACAUUUUUGUGAUCGUUUCUUAGUAAUCUUUCAAACCCAUGCCUCGAUUUCUAAAUUUGAUUAUGAUUUUAAGAUGUUCCAUUGUUGAUAAUGUGAGUUUUAUAAAUUUUGAUGAUAGAAAAUGAAGGAUAUAUGUUAGAUCACUAUGUUUUGUAUUGGGAUGUUUUGUAUUGGCAUUUUUGAUGAAUUUGAGUAUUUUGGACUAAAUUGUGAAAAUGAGAAAUUGAGGGGCUAAAAUGUGAAAUAAAUGAAAUAUGUGGGCUUAUAUGAGCUAAAGGAAAAUUUGGCUAGGCAUGUAUGAGAGGAAAUUAUGCAUAUUUUAUGAUUUAAUGAAAUAGGGACGAAAGUGUUAAAAUGUGAAAAUGUAAGGGCUAAUUUGUAAAAUGCCCUAAAUAUGUGUAUAUGGAUUGAAUUGAAUGAUUUUUUGAAGAAAAGAGUUAAAUUUGAAUUUAUAUAGACCAAGAAUCAAAUAAAACAAAAUUAGAUUGGGGAAAUUCGAAAGUCGUUAAAGAGCCAUUCGUUUCCGCUUGAGGUAAGUCUAUAUACAAAUAAAUGAGUUUGAAUUGAUUUAUUCAUGUUUAUAUGAUAUUUAAUUGUGAUGAAUGUUGUAGAAGUUGAAUAUGUGAAAUUGAGAAAUUUUUGAUAAUGUAACGAAGUCCGAAAGCCCCGUACGAACCAUAAGAAUAAUUAGGAUACAUAUGUCAUGACAUAGGAUUUUCGACAUGUGAUUUUGUGUAAGACCACAUCUGGGACGUUGGCAUCGAUUUGAGAUUUACGUGUAAGACCAUGUCUGGGACAUCGACAUCGUAUUUGAUUUUGUGUAAGACCCUGUCUGGGACAUUGGCAUCGAUAUUUGAUUACAUGUAAGACCACGUUUGGGACGUUGGCAUUGUACGAGCUUUCUGAGCUAUUUGCAUAUCUUAUUUAAUCCCGUACGGUUCAACGAGCAUUUUGAGAAAUACGUGAUUGAAUGAAUGAAUAACCGAUUCAGGUACAUGGAGAUGUGUUCAACAUUUGUUAAUGAGAAGUAAGUAUAUGUGCAAGUGAUGAUAUGUUAUAUAAGUAUGAAAAAAUAUGCUAUAUGUGCAAAUGAAUUGGGAAUAUGUGAAAUGUGUAUGAACUAUGUGGUUUGUGAUAGUAUUUGGCUAUGGAGUAUAUGUAUUUUAUGAUUCUUAUAUGCUUAAAAUGUUAAGUGUAUUUGUAUAUGGCUUACUAAGCUUUGAAAGCUUACUCUGUGUCUAUUUGCAUUGUUUUUAGAUAUCGAAGCUACCGGAAGCUUGGGGAUCAUCAAGGAUCAUCACCACACUAUCAAACUUAUAUUUGGUACCUUUUGAAAGUGUAAAUUUUAAAGUAUGGCAUGGAUAGUCUAGAUAACUUGAGAUAUGUUUUUGAGUUAAAAAUAUUUAGCCAUGUGAUAUGGCUUGGUUUUGGUUGUGUUUAUGAAUGACUUUUGAGUAUAAACUAUGUGAUGCAAUAUUGCGAAUAUGAUGUGUUCACGGAUGGCCAAAGAGAAUUGGUCUAUUUGGUAAGAUUUUGGUAUGUGCUUAUUUGAGGAAUUGGUAAGAUUAUGACAUGAGAUUUAAUGAAGUAAAUUGAGAUUAUGAAACAUAUGUUUUAGUAUAACUUUGGCUUAUGAUUUGGCAUGAUUUGGAAUGAAUUAUAAGUAUGAAAUAGGUUUAUAAUAAUAUGACAUGAAUUAUGCAUGUUUUGGGACUGAAAUUGGUUGAAAUUAUGAUGCAAUUGAUACUUGUAGGGAGGACCCAAAAUGGGUGGUAGAUUGGCCUUGUAAAUGGCCUAUUUUUGCCCACACGGGCAAGGACUCGAGCGUGUGUCUCUGCCAUGUUGCUCGAGGGCCAUUUCAAAAUGAGCCUAGGUAGACCACACGGUUGUACACACGGGCGUGUGCCAAGCCGUGUGGCUAAGUCAAUUUCAAGCACGGGCUAGACACACGGGCAUGUGACUGACCAUAUAACCCAAGUUAGUAGCCUCCCUAAUUUUCACACGGCCUAGCACAUGGGCGUGUUUUGUGGCCGUGUGGACAAGUCAGUAUGUAUGCCCUGUUUUGCCACGACCUAAGAACAUGGUGUGUCUAAUGUCGUGUGAGGUACACGGCCUGUUCACAUGGGCGUGUGACCUUUGUAACUUAGAAAAAUUGUUAAAUUUCAUAAAAGUUUUGUAUGUGUUCAGUUUAGUCCCGACCUCUUCCUAAUGCAUGUUUAAGGUCUUGUUGACCUAGGAAAGGGACCUUAUGUUGAUAUUUGACUUUGAUAUGAUAAUGUAUGGCAUUCGAUUCUGAAAUGAUUUCGAAAUGUUUCGAUAUGUCCGGUAAUGCCUCAUAACCCUAGUUCGGGGAUGAAUACGGGUUAGAUAUGUUACAUUUGGUUGGUAUCAGAGUUACGGCUUAGCCGAUUCUAGGACUAACGUAGCGUAUGCGUGUCUAGCUAUACAUACCAUAUAUAUAAACUGUGAUAGUGUGAUGAUUCCUGACAAUGAAAAUGUGUUUCUAUAUAGUAAAUGGAUCUCGAGCGAGCCGUAGCUAACGAUGUUGAAAGUAAUGUGCCUGCUCCCGCUCAAGGGAUAGCGCCAUCUGAUUCUAGACUUGCUACUAGUAGUCAUGAGGGAGAGGCUAAGCAAGCCUUUUACCAAAUGAUGAAUGAUUGGUUCACUCAGUAUAUGAGAACUAAUCCAGCUAUUCCACAACCUUCAUCCCCGCUAAAUCCUCCACAAGUUCCUGUCAUGCCACAAGCUAAUUCGGUUCAGUUGAGUAAGCCAGCUGCUAAUCCAAUUCAGUUGAGUAAGCCACCUGUUGAUAAAAUUAGAAAAUAUGAGGCCAAAGAGUUUCGUGCUACUACUAAUGAUGAUGCUGAGAGAGCUGAAUUCUAGCUAGGGAAUACGAUACGAGUGUUUCAUGAAGUGUCAUGUACUCUGGACAAAUGUCUUAAAUGUGUCAUUUCACUUUUGAGAGAUAUGGCGUAUCAUUGGUGGAAGACGUUGAUAUCAGUGGUUGCGAUAGAACAAGUCACCUGGGAUUUCUUUCAAGCUGAAUUUCGAAAGAAAAACAUCAAUUAGAGUUUCAUCGAUCAAAAACGUAAAGAGUUUCUUGAGUUGAAAUAGGGCCAUAUGUUUGUUACAGAAUACGAGCGAGAAUUUGUAAGAUUGAGCCAGUAUGCACGAGAAUGUGUCUCAACCGAAGCCACAAUGUGUAAAAGGUUUGAAAAUGGCUUAAAUGAAGAUAUCCACUUGUUAGUUGGAAUUCUAGAGAUAAAAGAGUUUGUUGUGCUUGUUGAAUGGGCAUGUAAAGCUAAAGAACUUGGGAAAGAGAAAAUAAAAGCCAACUCAGAAGCUAGAGAAGUAUGAAAAAGAUCAUCGAGUAAGUCAUUUCAUUCGGAUCAAAGAAAUUUCGAGAUGAUUUUUACCGAUCAAAGGCUAAUGUGGGACAUGCGAGUAGAUAUCGUACUAGAUCGCAUUCGAGUUUUAGAGCUCGAGCUACUUCUGUUGCAGUAUUGGAAAUGUUCGAUCCGAUCGACCCGAGUAUAGACAUUAUGGUAAAAAACAUCUGGGAAUUUGUAGAUCGAAUGACCGAGCUUGCUUUAGAUGUUGAUCUUUAUCGUGAAUGUCUUGAGUCUGUAGAGCAAGAGAUUGUGCAAAAUUCGAGGCCGAGUGGAAAUACAGCUCGAGGUAGACUGCCUAGAAAUACGGGUAAUGUGAGUGGCAGCUGAGGGGAACUAAAGAUAUGACUGCUAGAUCUGAGGCUCAUAUACCUGCCAGAGCCUAUGCUAUUCGUGCACGUGAAGAAGCUUCGUCUCCAGAUGUUAUUACUGGUACAUUCAUUCUUUAUGAUAGUUUCGUGAUUGCAUUAAUAGAUCUGGGAUCAACACAUUCUUAUAUAUGCAUGAACAUAGUGAGCAGUAAGACUUUUUUCUGUAAAGUCUACUGAAUUUGUAAUUAGAGUAUCGAACCCUUUAGGCCGGUGUGUUUUGGUUGACAAAGUGUGUAAGAAUUUUCUGUUGAUGAUUCGAGAUUAAUGUUUUCCGGCUGAUUUGAUGUUAUUAUCAUUUGACAAAUUUGAUAUAAUUCUGGGUAUGGAUUGGUUAACUUUGCACGAUGCUAUUGUAAACUGAAAACGAAAGACUAUUGAUUUUCGAUGUCUGAAUGAUGAGAUUAUUCAGAUUGAGUCUAAUGAUCUGAAUGGUUUACCGACAGUGAUUUCUUCGAUGUUAGCUUAGAAAUAUGUGAGAAAGGGUUGUGAAGGCUACUUUGCUUAUGUGAUUGAUUCGAAAGUGACAGAAAAGAAAAUUGAAUCAGAGCCUGUUGUCUGUGAAUUCCCUAAUGUAUUUCAUGAAGAACUUUUGGGAUUACCUCUGAUUCGAGAAGUUGAGUUUGGCAUUGAAUUAGUGCUAGGGACUACUCCGAUUUCGAUAACACCGUAUAGAAUGGCUCCGACUGAGUUAAAAGAAUUAAAGUUUUUGUUGCAAGAUUUGACUAAUAGAGGAUUUGUAAGACCAAGUUUCUCACCUUGGGGUGCUCCUGUUCUAUUUGUGAAAUAGGAACAUGGAACGAUGAAAAUGUGUAUUGAUUAUCGUCAGUUGAACAAAGUGACUAUCUAGAAUAAAUAUCCUCUGCCCAGAAUUGAUGAUUUGUUUGAUCAGUUGAAAGGAGUUACUGUGUUUUAAAAAAUAGACUUCAGAUCAGGUUAUUAUCAGUUGAGAGUAAAAGAUUCAGACAUUUCAAAAAUUGCAUUUAGGACGAGGUAUGGACACUAUAGUUUGAUUUAUAUUUUUGAAUAUGGCAUGUAUAGGGAACUAAACUUGUGUUUUGUGUUGUUAAUAAUUUGGCCAAAUGUGUUGGCUUGGGAUAAAUUCCUUAUUUUGUAUUAAGCCCUGAAUGAUUGCUAAUAUUCAUUUUGAUAUAUGCAAAUGGUUUUUUAUUCAUGGAUGAGUAGAAUGCACAAAUGAAAUGUUGUCUAUUGUGGCUAAUUUUAUUGCAUGAAUAGUAUUGUACUGGUUUUGGUUGCUUUUGUGUAAGUAAGGGUGGCAAAGAGGCUUGGCAAAAAGCCUGAUUUUGUCCACACAGGUAUACAGACGGGCGUGUCUGACACACGGCCAGCACCAUGGGCGUGUUGUCUAGCCAUUUCUCCUUUGCACGUAAAAAUUUCAAGUCAAAAUGCAUGAUAAUAAACAUACGGGCAGAGACACGACCGUGUGUCUCAGCCGUGUGAAGGGCACAGUCUAGCACACAGACGUGUGCCUCGGCCGUGUGACCCUUAUGAAAUGCUGAUGUCAGAAAUAAAAUGUCUAGGUUUGUGCACACGGGCAUGUCAUGGCCGUGUGAAGGACACGGGCUAGGGACACGGGCGUGUGCCAAGCUAUGUGAAAACCCCUAUAGGUGUAAAUUUAGAAUUAAUUCCACAUCAGUAGAGGGCACGAGCGUGUCCCUAUUUUGCUUAGGCUGUAUGAGACAAAUGGGCCAUUAGCACAACCAUGUUGGAAUGGUCACACGGGCGUGUUGCCCCUCCCACACAGGCUUGUCCCCUAUGUUAAGUGACAUUUUUCUAUAGUUGUCAAAAAGACCCGAAUUGGUCUCGAAUGAUUUUCGAUGUGGGUUUUGGUCCUCGUAAGGCCACAUUAAGAAUAUAUUGAUAAGUUUAAAAAAGUUUUAAAUUUUCCAAGUCAUGAAGACUUGUAAUUGGUUGUAAGUAUAAGUUCAAGUUAGGUAACGCCUCGUAUUAUGCCCCAGCAUAGGAUACACGUAUAGGUUGUUACAUCGAGUAUCAAUCCUUGGGGUAGAUUUAUUGGUACUAUAAGAAAAGUACCGAUAAUCUUUAAUGUUUUCAAUUUUCAUGAGAAACAUGAUGCAAUUUUGGUAUUGAUUUUCCAUGUAGUAACGAUACCAUGUUUGUAAAAUAUUGAUACCCUAAGGUCAGUAUCGGUACCUACGUGUCUAACUUUGAAAUUUUGCUAAAUGGUCCAAAUGCUUGAAUUUUUAACACAGUAAGUUACAUUGAUGUAUGUCCAACAUGAUUUAAUGAUGAUUAAUUCAUGUAUGUCUUAAACCUGUGUAAAUGCUCUGAAUGACAUGUGUCGACCUUAAAAUUGUGAACACUAUAGCUUACAAGUAAUGAGACGGUGGUGUGGCAUCUUUAUAUUCGGGCUCAGCGAUCAAGCCUGGUAUAGGGUGUUACAGUUGGGGCUGAAAGAGACUCCACAUCGUGACGAGGGUUUCCCUGAUGUCAUGAGAAUCAGAAAAAACUUAGAAAUAGUCAAUCGUAUCUUGGAAGGCCAAUGAGGGUUAUUUUUCCUAAUUAAACCCUAAUUACUCUAAGGUUAUUUUAGGCAUCUAGCACCCUAAUGUUUGCCUAUAUAAACAAGCUUUAUAACUUCAUUUAUAGGUGGAGACAGGUUGGACGUAGCCAAAUUGUUUUCUUUAGCUUUUAGUUGAGUUUAUUUUAAUGUCCUGUCAAAUAUUGUAGUUAAUGCAGUCUAUUUCCACCCUCAAGGAACUUGUUUUCUAGGCAAUUUAAUAUUUUAUAUUACGUUUUCGUAUUUAGUAGUUAGAACUAAAUGUUAGUAAAAUAAGUGUUUUAAACACAUUUUAUGAGUGUUGUGACUCAAUAGGCCGACACAAGCCUUAGGUAGCUCUAAUAUGUUUAAUUGAGUGGUAAGAUGAAGAUUUAAAGGCCUAAUUGAUGUUGAAGCAAGGGACAAGUGAUGCACAAGCUUCCUGAGACAUAAAAGCAUGGAAAUAACAAAGAUUGUCAUGUAACACAUGCCGUUGAAUGCCAUAACCCUUGCAAAGCGCAACAUUGGUCAACUUGUCAUCUAAGGAAGAUGGAGUUAAUUUCGUCUGCACAAUUGACUUUAUAUGAAGACCUAUGACAUGCUGAAGACCUAAUUUGGGCUAUCAACACUUUUAUAAAUAAGACAUUAGGGGCUUUAUGUGAGUAAGUCAUCCUAGACGCACUAAAAAACCCUUGUAGUUUAGGAGUAGGACCUUCAGCCUAACACAUACUCUAUUUAAUCCUUUAUGUCUUGCUCCUUGAACGCAUUUAGACGUCCAACCAUCAAUAUUGAGGGAUUAGGCAUAUACAUCUUGGUGGUUUCAAAAGAAAAUAAAAAAAUUCAGUGAACUAAGGAAUCGCAUGGUAUAUUGAGUAUAAGAAUUUUGAGUUUGUAGAAAAAUAAGGCAAAAUGCCAAUUGAUAAAAUCUCGAUAAAAAUAAAAACAUAGUGAGUUGGAAGAAAAGUACGCUCACCUUUUUUUGAAAAAAAAUUACAAACUCUAAUGAUUGUACUCAUAAAUACUAUGCGAUGCCUUAGUAAACAGAGAGAUAGGGAAAGUUAGGGAAGUGGAUAUAAGGUCGUGAGCAUAUGUAUACUUAAGGGAGUAUUGUGGAAAAUAUCACGUGCCAAACUACUUUCAUGCUUAACCAUUUUUUUCAAUUCUAUUCUUUGAAUUCCAAACCAACCUCGGAACUUUACAAGAUGAAAAGUCCUAUGUGACUUAGUUAGUACAUUACAUGGAUAAAAUUGUGCUUAGUUUUGAAGUUUUUUCCACUUAUAUUCAUUUGAACAUACGUGAAUAUUUGCAUAUCUAUUUUCAUGGAAACCUAUACUUAACAUUCUUUUAUUUGUUUGCCUUGAAAUUUCUUGAACUAACUCGCCUAACUUUAGAAAUUUUGAGCCAAUUGUAUAUCACUCUAGAGUUAUAUAUUUAUUUGCAUUGUCUUUUUAAUAUAUUUCUAUUCAAUUUUCUAUACCAAACUAGCUCGAGUACAUUUUCUUUCCCUUGCAUGUUUAUUUCCUAUUUCCAAUUUUAGUUUAUUUUUAGUUUUAUUUAGUUUGCUUGAGGAUAAUCAAAGACUUAAGUGUCGAGGUAUUUGAUCUGUCAUCAAAUGAAGAAGUUAACUCAAUCUAUUUUCUCACCUAAGAAGCUUGAUUUCUAGGAAACUUAGUAUUUUAUAUUACGUUUUCGGUAUUUAGUGGUCAGAAUUAAAUAUUAGUAAAGUGAGUGUUUUUAACACAUUUUAUGAGUGUUGUGACCCAAUAGGCUGUGACGGGCCUUAGGUAGCUCUAAUAAGUUUAAUUGAGUCUGUAGGAUGAAGAUUUAUAGGUACAAUUGAUGUGGAAACAAGGGACAAGUGGAGCACAAGAUUCUCAAGACGUCAAAGCAUGAAAAGAACAAAGAUUGGUGGGGAACACAUGUCAUGUAGCGCCAAAACCCUUGCAUGGCGCGACAUAGGUCGACUUGUCGUCCAAAGAUGUUAAGGUUAAUUUUGUACACAUAGUCGACUUUAAAUGAAGACCUAAGACUUGCUAAAGACCUAAUUUGAGUUGUCAACACUUCUAUAAAUAAGACAUUAGGGAUUUGAUGUGAGUAAGUCAUCGUAGACGCACUUAAAAGCCCUAAUAGUUUUAGAGUAAGUUUAGAUUAGUUUUCUUUUUGCUUUUCUUAACUAUUUUUUUCCUCUUGGAAUCUAUUUCAACCUAAGAGUUUAUUUAAUUCAUUGAAUUAUUUCAGUUUAUUUAUUCUUAUGAUUUGCCAUGUUUCAUUAUUCCAACCAAUCGAUUUGUUACUCUAUUCUCCCUUCAAUAUCAAUCCACAAUUAUUCCAAUAUCAUUUAUCUUUCAAUUCAGUCAUGUUCUUCACAUGAUUUACUCAAUUGGGAUUGAGAUUAUGAAUAACAUGAGUGGCUAAACACCUUAGAGAAGAUUAAUUAGUGGAUGAGGAUGUGGUUAAUGGAGGAUUUGGUGUUUUCCUGUGAGUGUUAGUUGGUAUAAAUAUGUGUUUUUAAACUCUAGGCUUGACAACCAUAGGAAGUUAUCAUAGGCUAGACAAGAUCGAGAGAUAAGUCAACCGAGUACAUCGUAGUUUAUCCUAGUUGAGAAAAUGAGUUCGGGAGAUAAGCGAGUAUCAAGCAAUCAAUUGAUUAUUUAGAAGCCGAGAGGUAAUAAAUGUUUAACCGAUAACUAAUCCACCCUAUAAUCCUAAUCUGAAGUUACAAACCCUGAAGUGAGUUAAUCUUCCUGAUUGGUUUCUUGAUUUAAGUCAUUUAUUUUUCUUAUUCAUUUAUUUUUAUUAUUUAAAUUCUCUCAUUAAUCUAUGUUAAGUUUUAUCGUCAUACAAAAAUUAAUUAAUACUAUUUAGACUCUUUAUUAUAAAAAGGUUUUCAUAGAUUUAUUCCAUCAUCCCUUGGGUAGGAUCCUCGGAAAACUUCUAGUUGUUUCAUUGUAACUAAAUUAUAUUACAUUGUUGUUUUAAAUUCUUAUAUAUUUUUGGGGUUAUAUUUUACUAUAAAUGAUAACUCGUUUAUAGGCAAUCAAGUUGUUAGUGCUGCUGCCAGGGAGGUUUCGACAAUAAAUCUUAAAAAUAUUUUUUUUAGAAUUAAUAAGAUAAGUAUGAAAAAUUAAAACCUAUAGAUACGAUAUUUAAUUUUUGUUUAUUUUUAUUUUUAUUUUUAUUUCAAGUCGAUUAUGACCUGAAGCUCCUAUGCCACAAUUGAACCCUACCUAAAUCUAGAGCAAAUAUUUAGGUCAUCGCUUGACGAUCGUGCCUAAGUAUUUGCACCGGAUCUGGUUCUAUUUCGAUUGGGGUACUGGAGCUUCAGGUUAUAAACGACCUGAUAAAAAAACAAAAAUAAAUAAAUAAACUAUAUAUUAUAUCUACAGGUUUUAAUGUUCCUACUUAUCUUAUUAAUUGUAAAAAAAUAUUUUCAAGAUUUAUUGUUAAAACCUCCCCGGCAACGACACUAACAACUUGAUUGCCUAUAAAUGAGUUAUCAUUUAUAGUAAAAUAUAACACCAAAAAUAUAUAAGAAUUUAAAACAACAAUGUCCAAAAGUGCAUGGGUCAAAUUGUAAUAUAGUUUAGUUACAAUGGAACACUUGGAAGUAUUCCCAAUAUCGUACCAAAUGAGGAUGGACUAAAUCUAUAAAAACCUUUUUACAAUAAUAAGACUAAAUAGUGUUAAUUAAUUCUUAUAUUAUGAUAAACCAUAAAAUAGAUUAAUGACAGAAUUUGGAUAACUAACGUAAAUGAACAAGAAAAAUAAACAAACGAAUUAAAUCAAUAAACCAAUCAGGAAGAUUAACUCACUUUAAGGGUUGUAAUUAAAUUCGAAUAAGGAUUCUAGGGUGGAUUAGCUAUCGAUUACCCACUUAUUACCCACUGGUCUCUAAGUAAUUAAUCGAUUAGUUGAUACUCACUAAUCAUCGACCUCACUUUCUCAACCAGGAUAAAGUACAAUUUACUUGGUCAACUUAACUCCCAAUCUUGUUUGUCAAGCUUAGGGUUUAAGAACACACAUUUAUACCAGCUAAUACUCUCGGGAAAUCCCUAAAUCCUCUAUUAAUCGUAUCCCUAUCCACUCGUUAAUCUCCUUAAAGGAAUUUAGCCACUCAUGUUAUUCAUAAUCUCAAUCCCAAUUGAAUAAAUUAUAUUGAAUGCAGAAUAGAGUAGCAAAUUGAUUGAUUCGAAUAAUGAAAUGUGUCGAAUGCAAAGAAUAAAUAAACUCUUGGAUCGAAACCUAUUCCAAGAGGAAAAGCCAAUAGUUAAGAAAAGCCCAAAGAAAACUAAUCUAAACCUACUCCUAAACUACUAGCCUUUUUUGGUGCGUUUAGAAUGACUUUCUUACAUCAAAACCCUAAUGUCUCAUUCAUAUAAGUGUUGGUAGCCCAAAUUAGCUUUUUGGCACAUCCUAGGUCUUUUUAUAAAUUCGACUAUGCAAACAAAAGUAACCCUGACAUCCUUGGGCAUCAAGUCGACCUAUGUCACACCAUGCAAAGGCUAUGGUGCGACAUGACAUGUAUUCCACACCAAUCUUGGUUCUUUUCAUGCUUUAUUAUCCCAGAAAACUUGCGCAUCACUCACCCCAUGCUUCUACAUCAAUUGGGCCUAUAAAUCUACAUUCUACACACUAAAUUAAACAUAUUAGAGCUACCUAAGGCCCAUGUUGGCCUAUUGGGUCACAACACUCAUAAAGUGUGUUAAAAAGGACUUAUUUUACUAAUUUUUAAUUCUAACUACUUUAUACCGGAAACGUAAUACAAAAUAUUAAAUUGCCUAGGAAACAAGCUCCAUAAAUGCAAAAAUAGACUGAGUUAACUACUACAUUUGACAAUAGGUCAAUAAUGAACCUUUCUCAUGUAAUCUCUUUCUUCCGUUGUCUUAGGACAGUCUUUUAAAGAAGGAUGCAAGCACAAUACAAAGGGUUGAGUUCCCUUCUUUGAAUCGGUCAUUUCAUAGUGUUCCAAAAUAUUGUUUAUGUAUGAAGCUUGUGAUAAAGCUAUCACUUUGUUCUUUUGAUCUCUUAAGAUUCAAAUUUCCAAAACAAAGUUAGCUUCUCCCAAGUUCUUCAUGAAAUGUUCACAUUUCUUUUCUUCUUGUAGAUCCACUUACAACCUAUUGGUUAUAUCCCCUUCGGUAAGUCUACAAGUCCUACAUUGAUUUGCACUUUAGAGAAUCCAUCUUAAAUUUCAUAGUUGUUUCAAAUGUGAGUGGUUCACCAUUUUCUCAUUUGAAAGACUCAAUGUUGAAAACAUUUUCACCAAACUAGAAGAACUUCGGCCUAUGAGAGACCAUUCCAUAAGUAUGAAACUCUCUAUGUUGCUUGUAACAGCCCGAUUUAGACCUUAGUCGAAACAGUGGUUUUGGGACCACAAAUCCGACUAAAAAAAUAUUUUAAUAUUAUUUUCUGUGCUUACAGUAUGUGAAUUGAUAUGUGUGAAAUUUUUGUAUGAAAAUUUUAUUGUUUGAGUGUCAAUUUGUCAAGAAGGACUUAAUCGCGUAAAAUGUAAAAGUGGCAUUCUAUUUGUGAAAGUGCUAUAUUGCUAUGGCUUUUAUUAUGUGGGGCCUUAUGUUUUAAUUUCACCAUUGAAAAUAUGUAUGGGCGGUAAUGGGCUUAUAUUAUGAGUUUUAUCAUUAAAAUCAUUAAGGUUAGUUUUGUAAUUAGUUAAAAAUGUUAUUAUAAUAAAUCAUAACAUAAAAAGAAAAUAAAAACACAUGAAAAUGCUCAUAUUUUGAUCGAAAAUUGAGAAAUAAAAAAAGGUUUAAAGCUUUCAAACAUUCGGCCAUGGUCCAUGCUUGAUUCAAGUUUCGUUUUUGCUUGGUUUUUGAUAAUUUUUACGUUUUUGAUAUCGUUGUUUUGAGUACUAGUAAACCCAUGCUUGAAUUUUUGAAUUUGAUGAUGAUUUUUUUUCCAUUGUUGAAAGCUUGAUGAUUUUUGUGUUUGAUGAUGAAAAAUAAAUAUGUGUUAAUAGAAUUUCUUGUUUAAUUAAAUGAAUUUUGAUAAAAAUGAGUAUUAAGGACUAAAUUAAGAAAUUUGUUAAUUGAGGGGUCAAAAUGUGAAAUAAAUGAAAGAAAUGGGCUGUUAGGGACCUUAGUGAAAUUUGGCCAAGCAUGGGUGUGGUCAAAUUUUGAAUAUUUUUGUGUUUUGUGAAAUAAAGACUAAAUUGCGAAAAAUAUGAAAUGUUAAGGGCAAAAGUGUAAUUAUCCCAUUUAUGUGUUUUUGGAUAAAUUUGAUUGAGUAUGAGAUUAAACAAGUUAAAUUUUCAUUGAAUUAGAUCAAGAAAUGAGGAAAUUUGAUCUAGAUUGGGGAAAGUCGAAAAUUAUUGAAUAGUCGUUCAGGUCCAUUUGUGUUAGUACGAGGUAAGUUCUUAAGUAAAUAAAUGUUGUUAAAUUCGAUUGUAUAUGUAUUAUAUGUGCCGAAUUGAAUUAUAAUAAAUAUAUUUGUAUAUGCCAAAAUGAAUUAAGCAUUGAAUAAUUAGUUGGGAGCUUGAACCGAUCGAAUUAUAACGUCAAAAAGCCCCGUACGAACCAUAGGAGUACUUAGGAUACAUAUGUCAUGACAUAGGAUUCUAAUAUGUGUUAUCAUGUAAGACCACGCCUGGGAUGUUGGCAUCGAUUUGAGAUUUACGUGUAAGACCAUGCUUAAUACAUUGGCAUCAUAUAUGAUUUCGUGUAAGACCCUGUCUUGGACAGUUGCAUCGAUAUUUGAUUACAUGUAAGACUAUGUCUUGGACGUUGGCAUUGUACGAGCUUUGAGCUAUCCGAGUAUCCUUAUUGAUUCUGAAUGGUUCAAUGGGCAUUCUAAGAAAUCAAUAACUAUGUGAAAGUGUAACACCCCUAACCCGUAUCCGUUGCCAGACUAGGGUUAAAGGCAUUAUUGGACAAAUCAGAACAUUUUACAAACAAUUCAAUAACAUCAUCCAUAAUAUAGUCAACCAUCAAUAUAAAGCCCCUUAUAUAGGUCUCCGAGACCUUAAUCAUGCUUUAGAAAGGCGUCGGGACUAAACCGAGCUCAUACAGAAUUUUUCAAAAUUUAAACACUUUUCAAAGUUGUACAGGUCACAUGCCCGUAUGAACAGGUCGUGCGCCUCACACGGCUUUAGACGCACUCGUAUGNNNNNNNNNNNNNNNNNNNNNNNNNNNNNNNNNNNNNNNNNNNNNNNNNNNNNNNNNNNNNNNNNNNNNNNNNNNNNNNNNNNNNNNNNNNNNNNNNNNNNNNNNNNNNNNNNNNNNNNNNNNNNNNNNNNNNNNNNNNNNNNNNNNNNNNNNNNNNNNNNNNNNNNNNNNNNNNNNNNNNNNNNNNNNNNNNNNNNNNNNNNNNNNNNNNNNNNNNNNNNNNNNNNNNNNNNNNNNNNNNNNNNNNNNNNNNNNNNNNNNNNNNNNNNNNNNNNNNNNNNNNNNNNNNNNNNNNNNNNNNNNNNNNNNNNNNNNNNNNNNNNNNNNNNNNNNNNNNNNNNNNNNNNNNNNNNNNNNNNNNNNNNNNNNNNNNNNNNNNNNNNNNNNNNNNNNNNNNNNNNNNNNNNNNNNNNNNNNNNNNNNNNNNNNNNNNNNNNNNNNNNNNNNNNNNNNNNNNNNNNNNNNNNNNNNNNNNNNNNNNNNNNNNNNNNNNNNNNNNNUGCAUAGGAAUCAAAGGAACAAAAGAAUAAUGAUAAAUUUUAGUAAGAAAAUAGUACUGAAAAAUAAACAAAUCUCAACUAAAAGUCAAAGUAAGUUAUUAGUAAUAGAAAUAUGAGAAAUAGUGAUAAAGAAUACCUAGGAGCUGACAUAGACAACUUAUGUUAGACAUGAAAGCAGUAAAUAGAUGAAGAAACAAUGAAACAGAGAUGCAAGUGAGAUGAUAAUACAAAAUAUGGUGUGGUAGAGCAGGAAGAAAUGAAAUCCAUGGAAACACAAAAGACCAAGAAUGAGUGAAGGUAGUAUUAUGCAUAGGUCAAGCACUAUUAGUAGUAAAAUGGAAAAUCACUAAACAAAAAUAAGAAUCACAAGCAUGAAUAUCAUUAGCAGUGUAAAGAAUAACCAACAAUAGUAAAAUGAAACAAGAAAUAAAAUAAAGAUAGUAAAGAAAAUGAAGAUAAUGGAGAGAAAAGGAUGGAAAAACGCAGAUGUACUUAGUGGUGCUCGGUGUGCGCGCGGGGUGGUGCGUGAUGAGAGGUGGAAGGGGUGAUGGAGAAGGGGAAAGGAGAUAAGGAGGUGGCAGGUGGCGGUACGUGGUGGUCAGAGGGGGAGGGGGAAGAGAGGGAAGAAAGGAGAAGGAGAAGGGGGCUUGUUGAAAAACAUGAUGAAUGGUGAAGGGUAAAGGGAGAAAUUAGGGUUAGGAGGAUUAAAAAGGGGGAAACGGUCGCGUAAUCCCCAUUUUAAGCCACACGACCGUAGACCACGCCCGUGUGGUACACUCUUAGCCCGUGUUUUUCAUGAAAUUCGUAGUUAGGAUCGCACACGAUUACUUGAACACGCCCGCGUCCUUAAGUCGUGUGGUGCACAUGGCUGCGUCACACAGCCGUGUGUACGAUCGUUCACUUCUCCCAUGCCCGUGUUAGGUUCACCACACCCGUGUUCAUGGCUUAUGCUUAUGGUUUGACGUUUCAAGUCGGUAUCACACACGGCCUACGGACAAGCCUGUGUGUUUAUGCCGUGUGACGUACACGGCCACAUCACAAGGCCAUGUGGUGCUCACUUCGUUUCUCCCACGCCUGCGUCCAAUCCAACAUGUCCGUGUGCAAUCCAACACGCCCGUGUCAAUUAUUCAGGAUUGUGCAUGGCUCUUGAACACGGCCGUGGCCUACGCUCGUGUUCUAUUCUGACUUCGUUUAUCGUUUCAAAAUUUGGGAAAGUUUUCACAUGGCUUCAAGCACGCUCGUGGUAUAGACAAUGUGUCUCCCACGGCCACCUCAGAUCGCCAUGGUGAUUUAUCAUAGGCAGUGUCUCUAUUGAUCUUUUUUCGAAAUUAAGGUGCAGUUUUACCACGGUCUGGGACAUGCCCGUGUCCCUUAGCCGUGUGGUGCACAUGGCCGUGUCUCACGGCCGUGGCUAUUUAUCACAGCCCGUGUGUCAUCCUGUCUUGAGAAAAAUAUUUGUCCUAUUUUAGUACGACCAUGGCCACACCUGUGUCACUUGCCUGUGGGGAGCCCACGGCCAAAAGUACGCCCUUGUGCUAGGCCGUGUAUGCUGAUAAUACCUGCAAUCAGAUUAUAAAACAAAAAGGAAAAAAAACUAAGUUAUUUAGUGGGGUUCGUGCUCGAGUUGCCUCCCGAGAAACACUUAUUUAGAGUCUAAGAUCGAGUUUACCUGGUAGGUAUGUUUAUUCAGCUUCGCUGAACCGUAGCUCCUCUCCCUUGUCUUUGAAAUCCUCACCGUUACAAAGUUUAAGUCGAUGUCCAUUUACCUUGAAAGUGCCUUGAGUUGGGUGACUUACCUCUACUGUGCCAUAUGGAAAGAUGGUUUGGACUACGAAAGGACCUGACCAUCGUAAUUUAAGCUUUCCAAGAAACAAUUUGAGCCUUGAUUUUUAUAACAGGACACGAUCUCCAACUUCAAAUUGCUUGUUUUGCUUUAAACGAGCAUCAUGGCAGUGCUUUGUUGCUUCCUUGUAUAUUCGUGAAUUCUCAUGGGCAUUAGCUCGCCAUUUAUUUAACUCGUUUAGCUAUAUCAAUCUCCUUUCACUUGUGAGUUUGGGAUCAGAGUUUAGAAAUUUUAUAGCCCAAAAUGCUUUAUGUUCCAAUUCAAACGACAAAUGACAACUUUUACCAUAAAUAAGUCUAUAAGGGGAUGUUCCUAUGGGUGUCUUAAAAGUAGUUCUAUAGGCCCAUAAAGCAUCAUCUAUUUUCUUUGCCCAAUCCUGCCUAUUUGAGUCUAUAGUUUUUUCGAGAAUGCGUUUAAGUUCUUAGUUAGCAACUUCGACUUGUCCACUAGUUUGAGGAUGGUAAAGGGUAGCUGUUCUGUGAUAAACUCCAUAUUUCUUAAGGGUUUUAUCAAUUUGAGUAUUACAGAAAUUAGUGCCCUUAUCACUGAUGAUUACUCUAGGAGUUCCAAAUCGAGAGAAAAGUUUCUUAAGGAACUUCACCACCACUUUAGCAUCAUUAGUAGGUAAGGCUUGGGCUUCCACCCAUUUAGACAUAUAAUCAACGACUACUAAUAUGUAUUUACUCUCAAAUGAGCUAGGGAAUGGACCCAUGAAAUGAAUACUCCAAACAUCAAAGAUUUCACAUGAGGCGUCACACAGCCGUGUGUACGAUCGUUUGCUUCUCCCAUACCCGUGUUAGGUUCACCACGCCCAUGUUCAUGGCUUAUGCUUAUGGUUUGAUGUUUGAAGUCGGUAUCGCACACGGGCUACGGACAAGCCUGUGUGUUUAUGCCGUGUGACCCAUACGGUCACAUCAUGCGACCAUGUGGUGCUCACUUCUUUUCUCCCACGCCCGUUUCCAAUCUAACAUGCCCGUGUCCAAUCCAACACGCCUGUGUCAAUUAGUCAGGAUUGUGCAUGACUAUUGAACACGGUCGUGGCCUACGCCCGUGUUCUAUUCUGACUUCGUUUAUCAUUUCAAAAUUUGGGAAAGUUUUCACACGGCCUCAAGCACGCUCGUGGUACAAACUGUGUGUCUCCCACGGCCGCCUCACAUGGCCGUGGUGAUUUAUCAUAGGCAGUGUCUCUGUUAAUCUUUUUUGGAAAUUAAGGUGCAGUUUUACCACGGUCUGGGACAUGCCCGUGUCCCUUAGCCGUGUGGUACACAUGGCCGUGUCUCACGGCCAUGGCUAUUUAUCACAACCCGUGUGUCAUCCUAUCUUGAGAAAAAUAUUUGUCCUAUUUUAGCACGGCUAUGGCCACACUUGUGUCACUUGCCUGUGGGGAGCCCACGGCCAAAAGCACACCCGUGUACUAGGCAGUGUACGCUGAAAAUACAUGCAGUCAGAUUAUAAAACAAAAAAGAAAAAAAACUAAGUUAUUUAGUGUGGUUUGUGCUCGAGUUGCCUCCCGAGAAGCGCUUAUUUAGAGUUUAAGCUCGAGUUUACCUGGUAGGUAUGUUUAUUCAGCUUCACUAAACCGUAGCUCCUCUCCCUUGUCUUUGAAAUCCUCACCGUUAUAAAGUUUAAGUCGAUGUCCAUUUACCUUGAAAGUGCCUUGAGUUGGGUGACUUACCUUUACUGUGCCAUAUGGAAAGAUGGUUUGGACUACGAAAGGACCUGACCAUCGUAAUUUAAGCUUCCCAGGAAACAAUUUGAGCCUUGAGUUGUAUAACAGGACACGAUCUCCAACUUCAAAUUGCUUGUUUUGCUUUAAACGAGCAUCAUGGCAGUGCUUUGUUGCUUCCUUGUAUAUUCGUGAAUUCUCAUGGGCAUUAGCUUGCCAUUCAUUUAACUCGUUUAGCUACAUCAAUCUCCUUUCACUUGUGAGUUUGGGAUCAGAGUUUAGAAAUUUUAUAGCCCAGAAUGCUCUAUGUUCCGAUUCAAACGGAAAAUGACAACUUUUACCAUAAACAAGUCUAUAAGGGGAUGUUCCUAUGGGUGUCUUAAAAGCAGUUCUAUAGGCCCAUAAAGCAUAAUCUAUUUUCUUUGCCCAAUCUUGCCUAUUUGACUCUAUAGUUUUUUCUAGAAUGUGUUUAAGUUCUUGGUUAGCAACUUCGACUUGUCCACUAGUUUGAGGAUGGUAAAGGGUAGUUGUUCUGUGAUAAAAUCCAUAUAUCUUAUGGGUUUUAUCAAAUUGAGUAUUACAGAAAUUAGUGCCCCUAUCAUUGAUGAUUACUCUAGGAGUUCCAAAUCGAGAGAAAAGUUUCUUAAGGAACUUCACCACCACUUUAGCAUCAUUAGUAGGUAAGGCUUGGGCUUCCACCCAUUGAGACAUAUAAUCAAUUACUACUAAUAUGUAUUUACUCUCAAAUGAGCUAGGGAAUGGACCCAUGAAAUCAGUACCCCAAACAUCAAAGAUUUCACAUGAGAGCAUGUAUGUUUGGGGCAUUUCGUCACGUUUAGAGAUAUUACCUGUUCGUUUGCAUUUAUCGCAAGUAGUAACAUACCUGUUGGCGUGUUUGAAUAGUGUGGGCCAGUAAAAACCUGAUUCGAGUGUUUUAUGUGCUAUCCUAAUUCCACUGUAAUGUCCCCCAGUCGGUCCUGAGUGGGAAUACUCUAAAAUUUUAAUCGCUUCUAUCUCUGUAAUGCAUCUUCGAAUUACUUGAUCUGCACAUAUACGAAAAAGAAAAGGUAUUCCCAAAAGUAGUUUUUCACAUCAGUAAAGAAUCGCUUCUUUUGUUGAUGUGUCAACCUUUUUGGUAUAAUGUUAGCAGCUAAAUAAUUCGCAAUGUCUGCAAACUAAGGUUCCUCAGAGUCAGAGCUAGCAAAAAGUUGUUCUUCAGGGAAUGAGUCAUUUAUCUCCUAUUCGUUCAGUUCAUUGAGAUGUGGGUUUUUCUAAUCUGGAUAGAUGAUCUGCUGCAAGAUUUUCUGCUCCUUUCUUAUCUUGAAUUUCUAAAUCGCAUUCCUAAAAUAAUAAAAUCCAUCUUAUUAGUCGAGGUUUUGCAUCUGUUUUAGUAAGGAGGUAUCGAAGAGUUGAGUGGUCAGUGUAAACGACAACUUUAGAUAAUAUUAAAUAUGGUCUAAAUUUAUUGAAUGCAAAAACCACAGCCAAUAAUUCUUUCUCGAUCGUCCUAUAAUUUUCUUGUGCAGCUGUCAAUAUUUUGCUAGCAUAAUAAAUCGAUUGAAAGUGCUUGUCUUUCCUCUGUCCAAGAACCGCUCCUACUCAAAAUCACUCACAUCACACAUUAGUUCAAAAGUAAAUUCCAAUCAGGUGCAACAAUAAUUGGAGCAUUAAUUAAUUUAUCAUUAAGAGUAUUGAAUGCUUCCAAACAAUCCUAACUGAAAUUGAAAGGUACAUCUUUCUCUAGAAAAUUCAUUAAAGGCUUGGCUAUUUUAGAAAAGUCUUUAAUAAAUCGUCUAUAAAAUUGAGCAUGACCUAAAAAACUACGAAUAGCCUUACCUGAAUUAGGAGGAGUUUGUUUCUCAAUAGUUUCAACCUUUACUUUAUGAAUCUCGAUUCCUUUGCUAGAAAUUUUAUGGCCUAACACAAUCCCUUCACGAACCAUGAAGUGACAUUUUUCCCAAUUCAGUACAAGAUUUGUUUCCUCAAAUCUAAUCAAAACUCGUUUCAAUUUUUUAAGGCAAAGAUGGAAAAAGUUACUGAAUACCGAGAAGUCAAUCCAUGAAUACCUCUAUAAUGUCUUCUAUAAGUUCAUAAAAAUUAGCCAGCAUGCAGCGCUGAAAAGUAGCAGGAGCAUUACAUAAUCCAAAAGGCAUUCGUCAAUAAGAAAAUGUACCAUAUGGACAUGUAAAUGUCAUUUUCUCUUGGUCCUCAGGAGCUAUUGGGAUUUGGAAAUAACCGGAGAGUCCAUCUAGGAAGCAAUAAUACAUAUGUCCAGAUAAUCUUUCCAACAUCUGAUCAAUGAAUGGUGGGGGAAAGUGAUCUUUUAUUGUGGCAUCGUUCAAUUUCUUAUAGUCAAUGCAGACUCUCCAUCCCGUGACUGUUCGUGUUGGAAUUAAUUUGUUCUUCUCAUUGGCCACGACAGUUAUGCCUUCUUUCUUAGGAACAACCUGCAUAGGACUCACCUAGGAACUGUCAGAGAUAGGAUAAAUAAUUCCAACAUCUAGAAGUUUAGUUACCUCAACUUUUACAACGUCUUUCAUGUUAGGAUUCAACCGUCUUUGCGCUUGCACACAGGGUUUGGAUUCAUCCUCUAUUAAAAUUUUAUGUGUACAAAAAGAAGGGUUAAUUCCUCUUAUGUCAGAAAUCUUCCAGGCUAUGGCUCUUUCAUACUCCUUUAAAACUUUGAGUAACUCAUCUUUUUCGGUUGGCUGUAAAUCUAAAGCAAUAAUUACCGGUAAUGUGGAAUUAUCUCCAAGAAACGCGUAUUCUAAGUGAUCUGGUAAUUGUUUUAAUUCCAAUUUAAGCAGUUCUUCAACAGAGGGUUUUAAUUUUAAUUUAUUGUUUACCUCAAUACCCUCGUAGCUCUUCUGUCUCAAUGAAGGUUCAUUGGAAUUUAGUUCAUCUUUUAUCUUACCUAUCUCAGAAUCAACAUCAUUUACCUCCUCUCCUUGGGCAAGACACAGUUCCAACAUGUCCUUAUGUACAAUUUCCUGUAAAGAAUCUUGAGUAGCAUGAUCAAUAGAGUGAAUAAAACAACAUGAGUCAUCCUAUUUCCUAGAAAGUCUCAUAGCAUCAUAAAUUUUAAAAAUAAUCUCUUCGUCACCUACUCUAAGCACAAGUUUACCAUCACCUACAUCAAUAACAACCCUAGCAGUGGCUAAAAAUGGAUGACCUAAAAUUAAAGGCACCUCAACAUCCUCAUCUAUGUCAAGCACAACAAAAUCAAUAGGAAAUAUAAAUUUAUCUACUUUUACAAGUACGUCCUCUAUAAUACCCCUAGGAUAUUAAACAGAUCUAUCAGCUAGUUAAAUACUCAUCCUACUGGGUUUAGGUUCCCUAAGACCAAGUUGUUUGAACAUUUUAUAUGACAUCUAAUUAUGCUAGCACCUAAAUCAGCUAGUGCCUUCUCAAUUUUCAAACUGCCAAUUAAACAGAGAAUAGUAAAACUUCCUAGAUCAUUCAGUUUGGUUGGCAGUUUAUUUUGGAGUAUAGCCGAGCAUUCCUUGUUGAGUUCUACUGUAGACAAAUCUUCAAACUUUCUUUUAUUUGUUAGAAGCUCCUUUAAAAAUUUUGCAUAUGUAGGCAUCUGUGAGAUAGUUUCAACAAAAGGUAAAUUAAUAUGUAAUUGUUUAAAAAUUUUGAGAAAUUUACCAAAUUGUGCAUCCAUGCGGUCUUUCUUCAACUUCACUGGGUAUGGGACUUGUGGUUUAUAUUCCCUCAACACCGAUUUUUCAUUUUCUUCGGGUUUUUCCUCCUCACCUGCUUUUCUGUCAGCUUCUGGUUGCAGCUUCUUUUCAGAUUCAGCUAACACCUUCCCACUCCUUAAUGUAACUGCUUUCACAUGCUCUUUUGGAUUGUGUUCUGUAUUGUUGGCUAGGCUCCCUGAUGGUCUUUCUGAAAUCAUCUUAGCCAGCUAUCCUAUUUGAUUCUCGAGCCCUUGAAUUGAUGCUUGUUGAUUUUUAAGUGCAGUUUUAGUAUUUUGAAAACGAGUCUCCACUAUUGAGAUAAAUUUUGUCAUCAUCUCUUCAACGUUCGGCUUUUUCUCUGGCUGGUACGGUUGUUGUUGGAAACCUGGAGGGGGUGGUGGUAUUUGAUUUCCUUGGCCACCCCAUGAGAAAUUUGGGUGGUUCCUCCAACUUGCAUUAUAAGUGUUAUUAUAAGGAUUAUUUUGGGGUCGAGGAUUAUUACCCAUAUAGUUCAUUUGCUCAUUCUCCAUGUUAGGGCUGUAGGAUGGAUAGUCUAAAUUGCUCGUUCCUCCUCCACUUGCAUUGCACUGCAUUACUGGAUGAAUCUGUGAAGAGCCAACUAAACCAUCAAUUUUUCUAUUCAAAAGUUCUACCUGAUUAGAGAGCACAGUAACUGAAUUGACGUUAAAAAUUGCCGACUGCUUUUGUUGGAUUUGUCCUCAUGACUUGUCACUGAUAAUUAUUCAGUGACAUCUCUUCUAUAAACUCAUAAGCCUCUUCAGGUGUCUUAUUAUUAAUAGUCCCACCAGUAGCUGCAUCAAUCAUCUGUCUAGUUGAAGGAUUCAAACCGUUGUGGAAAGUUUCAACUUGUAGCCAAAGGGGUAACCCAUGGUGAGGGCACCUUUUAAAUAGAUCCUUGUAUCUCUCCCAUGCAUCAUAAAGUGUUUCUAAAUACAUCUGGACAAAAAGAAGAAGUAUCAUUCCUUAGUUUAGCCGUUUUAGCCGGCGAAAAAUAUUUUAGUAAAAAUUUUUCAGUCAUUUGUUCCCAAGUUGUGAUUGACCCUCGUGGUAACGACUUUAACCACUGUUUAGCUUUGAUCCUCAAUGAGAAUGGAAACAACCGAAGGUGAAUGGCAUUGUCAGAAACGCCAUUGAUCUUAAAAGUGUAGCAGAAUUCCAGAAAGUUUGCUAAAUGAGUGUUUGGAUCCUCGUCCUACAAACCAUCAAACUGAGCAAACUGUUGUAUCAUCUGAAUUGUGUUAGGUUUCAGUUUAAAAUUAUUUGCAACAAUAGCAGGCCUAACCAUACUCGAUUCAGUUCCUGUUAAAGUAGGUUUAGCAUAAUCAUACAUAGUACGAGGAGUAGGAUUCUAAUCUACUGGGUUUGCAACAACCACAGGAGGUAACGAAUUAUUUUGAUUAUCAGCCAUCUCCUUGGUUGUGGUUUGAAAAUCAUCCUUGCCCUUUCUCUAUGUAUUGUAAGCUACGCCAUAUUUCUCUUCAGUUUUUGCAAGUUGUGCUUUUGAUCUUUCUAUCAAAAAGUAGAGGUCCUGAUAGGUUUCUUCUAGUCAUAAACUAGAAAAACCUGCCAGAAGUAAAUAAAAGAAAAUUUAGUAAUUUAAGAAAAAUUAAAAAUAAAAUAAAAAUAAAAAAAUGGCUAAAGUAAUAAAAAUUAAGCGUUUUUAAUAUCUUAGUCCCUGGCAACGGCGCCAAAAACUUGAUGGUCGCUAAACUAACUAAAAAUUCGACUUAAGGCAAGCGCACCUAUCGAACAGUAGUAUAGUUAUGGUUAGACCGAAAAUAUCGUAUCCACGAGCACUAAAAGUACUAGUAAUUACUAUCUUUUUAUUAUCUAGCCUAAAAAUUAAGAGAAUGUUUACCUAAGACUAAUUAUCUAAUUAGCUAAGAUUAUGACAGAGAUUAAGGUUGGAAAAUACUUUUGAAAAACCAAUUGAGAAGACAAUACCCAAGAAAGAAUCCACCUAGACUUCACUUCUUACCUUUGAAUUAGAUGAUUUAUUCACUUGACUUAUUCCAUAGAAAUCCCUGAUUUAUGUUAAUAUCCCUUUCGAGACUAAAAACAACUGACUCUAGGUUGAUUAAUUGAAAUCUCUUUCUAAUUAAAACCCCUAUAGUUGCAUUAACUUGAUCUUUGGAUUCUCUUAUUAGAUUUGACUCUAAUCCAACAGAUUUAUGUCGUCCUUUCUAUAGGAUUGCAUGCAACUCCGCUUAAUUAUGAAUGAUCUACUCUUAAAUAGGGACUUUUACUCCACUGAAUAAGUGCAUCAAAAACCUGAAUUAAUAUCCUGGAAUAUUAAAGCAAGGAUUAAAACUCACAAUUAAGAAUAAGAACAAAUAUUUAUCAUAUAAAUCAAAAAGUAAUAAGAUUCAUCUUAGGUUUCAUCUGCCUUAGGUAUUUAGGGAGUUUAGUUCAUGAUAAUAAUGGAAAACAUCUCAAAGUAUGGAAAACAACAAAACAUAAAGAAACCCAAAGAACUAGGAAAUUGGAUGGAAAUCUUUAGUCUUGAUGUAGAUCCUGCCUCCGAGGUGAUUUCGAUGGUUGUUUUUGAGUACUUCCCUACCUUCUUCUCUACGUAUCUUCAUUAAUCCUCUUCUAGGGUGUUUAUAUAGGCUUUAGAAUGCUUCAAAACCCUUAAAAGUGACCUUUUCCCAGUAGAACUAGAUUGGGGCUCCACAGAGACAUGGCUGUGUGCCACGCCCGUGUGAAGGUGCUUAGGUCGUGUACAAUUCUGACUUCGAUUAAUGUUGACACGGCUAGGACACACGGGCAUGUGGUCUACCCAUGUGUCACACACGGGCGUGUGGAAGUGCCUAGGCCGUGUGAAACUCUGAUUUAGGCCCAAUUUGUCUGUUUUUGGCCCAUUUCUUGCUCUUUUCGCCAUCUUAAGCUCUUCUGAGUAUAAAAUAUGAAUUUAAAGGAUUAGGAGCACUGAAAUUAAUAAAACCAAGGAAAAUCAUCCAUAAAUAUGUCAAGCAUAGGGUAAAAAUAUGUAUAUAUUAUGGUUUAUCAAUGAUAUUCUGAUUUACUCACGAGAUGAGUAUGAACAUGCUAGGCAUUUAAAAAUUGUAUUGCAGACUAUGAGGGAUAAGAAAUUGUUUGCUAAAUUUAAUAAAAGUGAGUUUUGUCUCUGAGAAGUUAUAUUUUUGGGACAUAUCAUUUCAGGUGAUGGUAUUCGCGUUGGUCCAAGUAAGAUUUCGUCAAUUGUUGAAUGGAAACCACUAAGGAAUGUAAUUGAACUUAGAAGCUUUUUGGUUUUAGUUGGUUAUUAUUGGCAUUUUGCCAAAGGAUUUUAGAUAAUUGCUACUCCUAUGACCAAGUUGUUGCAAAAAGAUGUUAAGUUUGAAUGGUCUGAGAAAUGUCAAAAGAGCUUUGAACAGUUGAAGGCAUUGUUGACUGAGGCACCGAUUUUAGUGCAACCGAAGUCAAGAAAAGAAUUUGUAAUUUAUAGCAAUGCUUCAUUGAAUGGUUUGGAUUGUGUGUUGAUGAAAGUGGGCAAAGUAGUAGCUUAUGCCUUGAGAUUAUUGAAAUCGGACGAGAAGAAUUAUUCGACGCACAAUUUGGAAUUAGCCGCCAUCAUUUUUGCUUUGAAAAUUUGGUGUCAUCGUUUGUACGAUGAGAAAUGUCAUAUCUUUACUGACAAUAAGAGUUUAAAAUAUUUGAUGAAUCAGAAAGAUCUGAACUUGCGACAACGGAGAUGGCUCGAGUUACUGAAGGAUUAUGAACUAGUGAUUGACUGUCAUCCGGGAAAGGCAAAUGUAGUCGUAGAUGCUUUGAGCAGAAAGUCUUUGUUUACUUUGAGAGCUAUGAAUACGAGAUUGACUUUUUCAAAUGAUGGUUCAAUUUUGGUUGAGUUGAGAGCUAGACCAGUUUUUAUUCAGCAAAAUUUAAGAAGCUUAGAAAAAUGAUAGUGACUUGUAAGCCAAAAGAGCUCAGUGUGAAUCGAGUAGUGAUACAAACUUUUGUAUCAGUUCAGAUGAUUGUUUAAUGCUCCUGGAUAGAGUAUGUGUACCAAAAUAAGAUGAACUUAUUCAGAAAAUUUUACACGAGGCACACAGUGGUUGUUUAUCAGUUUAUCCAAGUAGUACGAAGAUGUACAAUGACUUGAGUAAAUUGUAUUGGUGAUCAGGUAUGAAACGAGAUAUUUCAGAGUUUCUUUUGAGAUGUUUGAUUUGUCAACAAGUAAAAGCUGAACACCAAGUGCCUUCGGGUUUACUUUAGCCAGUGAUGGUACCCGAGCGUAAAUGGGAUAGAAUUACGAUGGACUUUGUGAUGGGUUUGCCUUUAACUCCAAAAAAGAAAGAUGUCGUCUGGGUUUUUGUUAAUUGAUUGACCAAAUCAGCUCAUUUUAUUCUGGUAUGCACUGACUACUCACUUGAUAAGUUAGCUGAAUUGUACAUUUCUGAGAUUGUGAGCUUGCAAGGAGUGCUUAUUUCUAUUAUUUCGGAUAGAGAUCCAAGGUUUACUUCGAGAAUUUGGAUGAAAUUACAAUAGGCUUUGGAUAAUAAGUUAAAUUUUAGUACCGCAUUUCAUCCGCAAAACCAAUGGUCAAUCCGUAAGAGGAAUUCAUAUUCUUUAAGAUAUGCUCUGAUGUUGUGUUCUAGAAUUUGAAGGUAGUUGAGAAAGAUAUCUACCCUUGGUCAAAUUUGCUUAUAACAGCAGUUUUCAGUCAAGUAUAAAGAUGGCACCGUAUGAGGCAUUGUAUGGCCGCAAGUGUCGAACUCCAUUGUAUUGGACAGAACUUAGUGAGAGACAGGUUCAUGGGGUUGAUUUGGUUAGAGAAACUGAAAAAAAGUAAAGGUAAUCCAUGAUUGCUUGAAAGCCACUUCAGAUUGACAAAAGUUGUACAUAGGUUUGAAAAGAAAAGAAAUCAAAUUUUAGAUUGGUGAUAAAGUAUUUUUGAAAGUAUCUUCGUGGAAGAAGAUUCUAAGAUUUGGCUGUAAAGGUAAGUUGAGUCCGCGUUUCAUUGGGCCGUAUGAUUACUAAAAGAAUAGGGCAAGUGGCAUAUCAGUUAGCUUUACCGAUAGAGCUACAAAGGAUUCAUAAUGUGUUUCAUGUGUCGAUGUUGUGAUGAUACCAUUCUGAUCCCUCACAUGUGAUUUCAUCAAUAGAAAUUGAGAUUCGACUUGAUAUGACUUAUGGUGAGGAACCAAUCAAGAUUUUAGCUCGGAAAGUUAAACAAUUGGAAAAUAAAAGCAUAGACUUAUUGAAAGUUUUGUGGAAGAGACAUGGGGUUGAAGAGACUACGUGGGAACCCAAGGAAGCUAUGAGAAAACAGUACCCAAAACUAUUUUUCGGUAAGAUUUUUGAGGGUGAAAAUCCUUAAAGCGGAGAGAGUUGUAAUAGCCCGAUUUUAGGUCUAGUUAGAACAGUGGUUUCAGGACCACAAAUCUGGCGAAGAAAAAAAUUAUUUUUCUUAUUUUUAUGGUCUACAGUUUUAUGGAAUGAUUCUGUGAAAUUUUCGUUCAAAAAUUUUGACGUUUGACUACUCAAUUUAGCAAAAAGGACUAAAAUGUAAAAAGUGCAAAACUUGAUUUCUAGAAGUUAGAGGUGUCUAAUUGCUAUGAAAUUUUAAAUUGAAGGUCCUUAGAUGGUAAUUAGACCAUUUGUUAAGUUAGUGGACAAAAAUGGACAUGAAGCAAGAGAAAUAUUAUGUUUUAAGAUAGGGGCAUUUUGGUCAUUUGGUUAAUAAAUGAAUUUAUAAGCAAAAUAAAAGCCAAUUUUUGCUCAUUUUCUUCUCCCAUGGCCGAAUAUAUAUAAGGAAGACAUAGCUAGGGUUUUUCCAUCUUCCAAGCUCGAUUCUAGCCCUGUUUUUAAUGAUUUUCAUGUUUUUGCGAUCCUUGUAACCUAAUUUAGCUAUUUCAAGGACUAAUUUAAAAGAAGGAUGAAGCUUAAAAUUUUACCCAUGCUAUGUGUAUUUUGAUGUCUAAUGGUAGAAAAUGCAUGUUCGCUGUAAGAUAAACAACUUUUGCUAAAUGAUUUUUGAUGGAAAUGUUAAAAAGGACCUAUUUGUAAAAGUUACAAAAAUGAGUAGUAAAAGUGUGAUUAAAUGAAAAAUGUGGGCUAGUAUGAGUAUGCUAAAGAUUCGGCUAAGCUUGGGUAACGAAGAAAUUGGAUGAAAAUCAUUUUACGAACGUAAGGACUAAACUAUAAAAAUGUGAAACGUUAGGGGAAAAAUGUAAUUUUUUCCAUAAUAUGAUUUUGGGACUUAAUUGAACAAUGUGAAUAUUAAAAGAGUUAAAUUUGUCAUUAUAGAUCAAGAAAAAUGAGGUUCGGACCUAGGUUGGAGGAAAAACAAAGUGUUUGACGAUUAGGUCAAAUUCUCCUAUUUUUGCACUGAGGUAAGUUCGUAUAUAAAUAAUGCAUUGUUAUAUUUUUAUGUUUUAAAUGCUUUAAAAUUGUAUGAAUUGUGAUUGACUCUUUGGAUGUAUUCGACAAAGUUUUUGACGAGCGAGAAAUCCUGGUUGAACCUUAGGAAUAGAAUAGGAUAUGAGUGACAUGUCACUAGGAACCCAUGUGUAUAUGUGUUUAUGUGAUCCAGGUGCUGGACUCGUAUGUCCUAGCAGUGGAUGGGUAGUUUGGCAUGAGUUGCGGAUACGUGAUAACUUGUGUGAGCAACACUGUAUAGCUACGUCCUGACUGACAGCUUGUGUGAGCAGGCCCGUGAAUAGCUCGAAAAUGAACCUAUAUGUAUUAUGAGAUAUGAGGUAGCUUUGGCUACAUAUAUUGCACUUAUGUGCAAGAUUUCCAAGUAUCUGUUAAUAUUCCAAGUGUACAAUGGGAAUGUCAAAGUUGAGAAAGAUUAUGGUCAUGUUGCGAGUUGGUAUAGGUAUGUAUGUAAAUCUCAUACGUAAUGAGCUCGAUGUGUGAUGAACCAUUGGUAAGGUUGUGAUUAAGUAAGUUAUGACUAUAAGAUUUUAAUAACAUUCAUGCUAAUUUUCAUCAAGUUAAUUGCAUGUUAAAUGUGUAGUUAUGAUGCUUAUUAUUUACAUAGGAACUGGCUAAGCUUUAUUGCUUACUCCCCUUGCUUUCCCUUAUCUUAUAGUAUCACCAAGCUAGCUCGGGGAUUGGAGAUCGUCGGAGAUCUACUCACACUAUCAACAAUUAUUUUUGUACCAAUGAUUUCAAAAUUUUGAGUUAUGGCAUGUAUAGAGGAUUGGUCAUUUUGUUAUGUGUCAUAAUUGAUUUGGCCAAAUGUGUUGGCUUAUAUUGGUUGGAAGUUCAUUUUGUACAAGGCAAUUUGGAAUUGGCUACUAUUGGUAUAAGCAAUUUAUACGAUGAUGUCUUUAAUGGAUGUGAGAGUUUACAUGAUUUGAGUUGAUAAUUAUGUGAUGUUUGUGUAUGAUAGAUGGCAGCAUGUGAAUGAUGUGUUGAUGUCUUGGUUGUGGCUGAUUUGGUUGUAUGUAUAUGCAUGGAUUAGUGUUAUGGUAUAUUAUGUAGAUGUGUGCAUUAACGGGUGGCAAAAUGGCUUGGUAAAUAGCCUUAUUUUUGUUAGCACGGGUAGACACACGGGCGUGUGUCUAGGCCGUGUGUGACACACGGUCUACCCCAUGGGCAUGUGUUACGAACAUGUGUCCUCUCCACCUAAAUUUUGAGAAGAAAAAUACUCAAAAUUGAGGACAUGGGCAGAGAGACGGGCAUGUGUCUCAGUCGUGUGGACGCCACAUCUUAAACACGGGCGUGUGCCCUGGCGUGUGAAGUUUGCACCUAUUUAAUGAAAAAUCAUAAAUUUUGAAUCAACCACACGACCUAGCACACGAGCAUGUGACUUGGUCGUGUGACUUCAAUUUGUUCUUGGGUGACAAACAGAGAGAUACACGGGGUCGAGACAUGGGCGUGUGUGACCAUACGGCCUACCCACACAGGCGUGUGACCCUUGUUUAGUGAAAAAAAUUCCUAAGUUUUGAAAUUUUUUCUAAAGUUCUCAAUUUAGCCCCAAAUCACUUCCGAAGCAUGUUUUGGGCCUCGUAGGCUCGUAUUAGGGACUUUAUGAUUAGAUACAAAAGUUUUAAUUUGGAUGCAAAUUGACGACUCAAAAUUGUAUGAAAGUUUUUGUGAUAAGUCCGAUAAUGCCUCGUACCCUGUUCUGGCGUUGAAUACGAGUAAGGGAUGUUACAAAAAUACUACAUCUAGGGCACCAAAUCCAAUACUCAAAUCGUAACGCAGAAAGAUAACUUGUAUGAGUAGAUAAAACUAAACAUGUACUUUGUCUAAUUGAAAAUGAGAAAACCUAUUAAAAGAAUAAUUUGUCAUAUAUCAAGUCCAAUAGAGGAGAUGCAUUGUCUUGAGGAACAGAAUAGAUGACUCCUAGACGACAGAGACAUGGAUGUGAUUGACUAGACUGACAGUACAUCAGACAGGAGGACCUUAGUAGAAUAGAUCCUAGAUUUGUUUUUUGGGUCUAUUCACUUUUGACAUAACUUAAUCCUAAGUGGAUGAAAAUCUAUGUGUAUGUGAAUCAUAUACUUUGAUGUAAGUAAAAGCUUGAUUUCAAAAAAAAAAAUUUGAAAGUUGGUGCAAUGCGUAGACGACUUUUGUAGUAUGUAGCAUCAUUCCACGAUAGUGGAAUUCAUCACCCAACUAAAGGGUAGAUGAUAUCCUAUAUUGACAUUACAUGAUAAAUGAAAAGUAAACGUGGCCAUGAGUCAUUUGUCUUUGUGAUAAAUGACUUGAUUGCUAGUUGAUAGUAAUUAACUUUUCAAAAAAGAAGAUGUAACAGUUACCAUGAGACAACAUAUGAUCAUAUUAGGAGAACACAUUUAUCCUAAAGAGAUUAAGGAUAUCCUAAAAGGGUAACACUCUGAUGACAAGAUCAUUGGCCGAACACUUAUUAAGUAGCUUUCAUAGUGAUAUAUAAUUAGGAAAAACUUAAUCAUGAUAUUAUGGUGGAAAUACUUCGUGACUAAAUAAGUUUAUAAUUCAUAGGUGAAAAGCUAAAACUUAAUUAUAAAAUAUUUGAGCCCUAAUUAUAUAUGUCCAAUCGAUCCCUCUACUAACCCGUUGAAACAAAAAAUGAAUUGCAUGUAGAACCAAAUGGAUAGAAAUGAAUAAAAUGAUGAAAUAAGGGAAAUGGGUUGCAUUCACAAAUGAAUGUGUUUUCUUGCUAAGCACAGAAAUGACUUGAGCAUUAAUUGAAGUUUUUUUUUUCAAAUUAUUAUUUAAUUAAUUAUAAUUAAUGAACUCAAGUUAAAAAAUUGAAUUAAACUAAUUAAUUAUGAAUCGUUGAAUAAAGAAAUUAAAUAUAUUUUUCUCAUAAAUUAUUUUACGUUAAAGUUGUCUUGACUUUAAUAAAAUUAGAAUUGGUUUGAGAAAAUUAUUUAGUUCAGAAAUUAAUUUACUAAAUAAAUAAUAUUUAUUUUGGGAAAUAUGAAACAAGUAUUUGAUUGGAUUGAAUUAUAAAGUGUUGGGUCAAAAGUCUAAGAAGUACAUAUAAUGAGGACCAAUACAUAAGAGGCUUAAUUCACCUCAUAAGAGAAGAGAGAGGUGACAACCCUAGUAAUAUUUACUAGUGUGUUGUAAUGCGUAGGUUUGUGCAAGUGUAGAUAGUCGUUAUCAAGUAACAAGUAAGUAAAAGAAUUAUCGUCUCCACAGUGACUGUGUAUGUUAAUCAGUUAAUUGGAAAAUUAAAAUUUUACGAAUUGAUGAUUAGAACACAAUAUUUUGAGUGAUGGAUGAUUAAACUAAAUUAAAUUAUAUAGAUGCUAAUCCCUAAUGCAAUUCUUAUCUAAGUAUGAUAAUUAACUAAAAUGUAUGAGAUGAAUUUAACAGCAACAACACAAACUUUAACAAUCAAUAACAUGAAUAGGCUAGAAUAAUUACAUCAUUCAACUUAAUUCAUUUUUCUCAUGUUUAACAGUGUUCGAAAAAUAUUCCAUGGCAACUCUACCUUUCAUGGGUUUGAAACCAAAUUAAGUCCUUUCAGAAUAUUUUACUAAGGAAAACAUGCAUUUUAUUAAUCAUAUUAAACAAGGACAGGUUAGGUUUGAAAAAAUUUAAUCACAUAAACCUAAAAACUAUGCUAGAUAAUAGAGCUCGUUAAAGUUAUUAUGAACCUUUAAUUUAGACAGAUUAGGAUCUAAAUUAAGAAUGUACUCUUCAACUAUUGUGUCAAUUAGUCGUCGUCUGGUUAGGAUAACUCAGCUAGUUCUAAUGCAUCUAAUCACGUAUGAAUGAAAUACAUGUCUGAGUUUAAUUGAAAACAUGAAUAACUGAGGAACAAACACUGUAAAUAUAAUUUAUACAAACUUCAUGAAAUUGAUGCAAUCAUCCUAGCUAAACAUAUUUAAGCUACCAUUGUUGAUGACAAGAUAACAAAACACAUUACAAACAUGAUUAAAAUAAAAGUAACAAGCAAAGGAAGAAUAAACUCUAUUCAAAUCAGCAACCUUGUGAAAUUUGAUUGAAGAAGUUUCCUCCUAUCCUCAUGUUUCUCCUUUGCUAAGGGCUUUUCAAGUUUGCCGACCAAGAGUGAUCUUCUCAAGGUUUUGUUGGCUAAGAAUGAAAAGAAAUAUGAGAUGUUAUGCGUGGGAAUGAAGAGAGGGAAUGAGAGAAUGGAAGAGAAAUGUUACAUGAAGGAUGAAUGAGGGAUGAUUGAAAUGUGAGAUGGGAGUGGAUAUUUAUACAUGAGGUUGGUGGAGGAGUUUACUAAAUAUGGCAUCAAAGAUCCCUUAGACUUCUCCCACCUUUGGCCAACCAUAAUAUGUGGAAAGGAGGGUAGGUUGGUUGCUUGAUUCAAGUAUAUAAUCAUGCUUGAAUCAUGCAAGGGAUGGACGUGUGACAACUCUAAUUUGACCCUAGUCGGGAAGUGGUUUCGGGACCACAAAACUGAGUCACAAAAUUAUUUAAAUGCUCUUUUCUAUGUUUAUUAUUUGUGAAGUAUCAUGUGUGAAAGUAUCAUGUCUAAAUUUUGUCAUUUGAAUGUGAAAUUAUGAAAAAAGGACUUAUGUGAUAAACUUGAAGAAUGUGUUAGGAAGAAAUGAGGUGACCGAAUAAUGCAUGGCUCAUUAAAAGGGAGGACUUGCAUGUCAAAUUGUCCAAUUUAAAGUUAGUGGCCGGCCAUGAUAAUGAUGAUUUGUAAUAUAUGCAUUUUAUAUAUAUAAAAAAUAUAAUUAUUAAAUGUUUUAUAAUAUGAAAUAAGAAUUAAUAAAACAAAAAUGGGUGAAAAAGAACAAAGUUUGUUCAUCUUUGUUCUUCCUUAGCCGAAAAAACCAAGUAAAAGAGAAAAGGAAAAGUUUCUAAGAAGUUCAGUCAUGCUUGUAACUAGAUUGAGGUAUGUUUGAUAUUAUUCUUUGAAAUUCAUGUAUAUUUUAAGUUGUUAGUUUGAAUUCUACCUAGCCCAUGGUUCAAAUUUUGCUAUUUGAUGGAGAUGAUAUUCGGCCAUGGAUGUUGUAUUUCUUGGUUGGUGUUUUGAUGUUUUUGUGAUGAGGCGUGAAGAUGGUUGAUUUUGAGUGUUUAAUAAAAAGGAUUGGAUGGGAGUGUGUGUGAAAUAGCAAAUGAUGAGUCUUGGUAACUUCAUGAAGUGUUCGGCCAUCGUGUUAAAAUGUUAUACUUGUGCUUAAAUUUGGAAUUUAAUAGUUAUAUGGUUAGUAUGGGUAUAGAUGACCGAAUAUGAACAUGAAUUAUGAUGUGAAUGAAUUGUUGUUAAAUAAUGGCCGAAUGUGCUUAAAUCCAUGCAAGGUUGGGUUUGUUAGUAAAUUGGGAUAAAUAGAAUGAAAUUACCAUUUGUAAAUUGUAAAUGUGAGAUCAUCUUUGAUUGAAUUGAAAAUGUCCUUGUGCUAUAAUCGUUUAAGCGGUUAGAAAGAUUGCCGAAUAUGAAUUAAAGAGAGAAAUGAGGUAAAGGAUGAGUUUGAGCUUGUAAAUGAUAUAUGUGAUUUAAUUGAGAAUUUAUAAUCGACUAAAGUGAUCAUUGUGUAAUUAUUUAUAUAUUUUUAUUUAUUUAUAAUGGCCGAAUGUAGCAUGAAUAAGGAUGUGAAUAAAUUCUAGUUAUAGAGGUUGUCAAUGAAAAAUAUGAGUUGGAUGAGCUAAUGUCGAAUGGACUUGUGGAAUUAAGUAUUAAAAGAUUUUUUAAUUAAUUAGUUAAGUGAUAUUCGGCUAUAUGAACAGUAUGUGCACUUGAUGUUAUAUUCCGGUCUAAGAGUGGUUGUAUGAAAGUAAGGUUAAUGAAUGUAGUAGUGCCAUGUGAAGUGUGUAAAUUACAUGACUUCAAUAAAUGUUGUUUGUGUUUUGAGACUUAUCAAUGUUUUUUUUUUAUGUGCCGACUGUGAUUUUGGAUGAAUGAGAUGUGAUAAUUAUAGUAUUUUAUAAAUUGCCGAAUGUGGUUUUAAAUAAUAGAGAUGUGAUAAGUUGAAUUUGUUAAUCAAGCUCAAGAGCAUAAGGAGCCAAUUUUGGAUAAAGGGAAAGUGAAACUAGUCGAUUAGUGAAUCCGUAGUUAUUUGAUAAAAUCCAAGGUAAGUUCUUAAGUGUUUGUGUUUGUUCAUGUUAUAUGCUUAAGAGUUAAAUAAUCAUAAUUAAGAAGAUGUUUGAUUGUAUAUAUAUACAUAUGUUCUUUGUGUUGAAUAAAUAUUAAAUUAAAGUUAUGAGCCGUAUGUGACUAGCAUAUCUAGUCGACUUUGAUACUAUUAAAUGAUGUACUAAGAUAUGUGUUCCAAUGUGGAAAUUAAACCCUAUGUGGUUGAAAGGAUGAAAAUCUUUGUUCAUAGAUAUGUGUUUCAGUUAUACGUAAUUGAAGUAUAAGUUAUGAAAGUAUGAAAGAACAGGUGAAUUAUUUAUCGAAAUGUGAUAUUCGAGCCUAGGCCUAGCCAGCUUUAAGAUGGUGAAUAAUAUUAUUAGGCUUCGGGCCUAGCAGGCUCUAAUGCCGGUGAGAUAAUAUCGGGCUUCGGGCCUAGCAGGCUAUAAUGCCGGUGAAUGAUAUCGGGCUUCCAGCCUAGCAGGCGAAAUGCCGGUGAAUGAGUUCAGACUUAAAGUCUAGCAGGCUUCGUGCCGGUGAUGAAUUCGGGUUUAAAACCUAGCAGGCUAAAUGCUGGUGAUUUGAUAAAAGUCUAAGACUAUGAGACCUUAUGUUAAAUCGGCAAUUGAAUUCAUUCAAUACAUUAAGUUGGCCAGGUAUGUGAUAUAUACUUAUACAUGUUAGAUCGAUUGGAAUUGAAUCAUGAAUGUGAAAAUGAGAAGCAUAGGUGAAGAUGUCAUACGUGUAUGUGUGUAUUCGGUCAUGGUGAAAGGUUAUAUGAAUUAUGUGAAAUACCAAUUAGAUAUGAAUGAAGAAAGUAACUGUGGUUAUGAAAUGGUACAAUGGUUAAAUUCGGUUGAAUUAAAGUUGACACUGAAGUAUUUAAAUGCCUAUGUCAUAUAUGUGAGUAAAGGUAAAACCAUCGUAAAUUAUCGAUAAGGGUGGGCUAUGUGCGGAACCAUCUUAUAAUUGCUAAUUUGAAUGGUUGUGUGCGAAUUAUUGAGCAUGAUGUAUUGUAUUGAGAUUAUUCUUAAGUGAAAUUAUAGAUAAGUGAUGAAUUUGAUUGGUGAUAUACAUGUUUAAAUAAUAUGAAUGUAAAGAAUGUGUGAAGGAGUAAAUUUGUAAUAAAUCUGCUUGGGACAGCAGCAGUAAUGUGAUCUUGGAAAAUCACCAUAAAUUGUGGGAGUUGAGUUAGGAGCUGAAUAAAUUAUGUAAUUAAAGCUUAAUGAGUCUAGUUUCUUAUAAAAAACCGUGUAAGCAAAAGAAUUGCUGAUAAUGAGAUAUUUGAAGUGGCGUGAGACAGAGUCAAAUGACUUCGGGGUCCCCUGUUCUGUUUUUAAAAAAUCAUUAUAAUUUGUAAAAAAAUGGUUAUAAGAUAAAAUUUAUAUGCUUAGACUUCUUAAUUACUCUAGUUUCAAAUUAAAUCAACGAGAACAUAUUUUGAAUUCUGUAAAAUGAGAAAUUUGAUUCGUAGUGAAGAGUGGUCAGAUUAGUCAAACAGUGAAGCAGGGGAAACUUUAAGAAAAAUCUGGAAUUGAUUGGCCAAACCAAAAAUUCUGAAACUUUUAUGGAUAGAAGAUAUGUGAGUCUAUUUUCAGGAAAAAUUAACGACAAUUGAUUUGGAGUUUAGUAGCUCCAGUUAUAAAUAAUUUAGUGACUAUUGCUCAGGAAGAAAACUUGUAGUGAAUUUGUGAUUAUGUUGUAAACAUUGAUAAAACUUGUUAAUGAGUUGCUUAUUGUUUUCUUAUGAACUUACUAAGCGUAAAGCUUACUCCCCUUUUGUUUCCCAUAUUCCCUAGGGUUUCCAGGUUAGCUCGGGUUGGAGGCCGUCAGAGAUAUCAUCACAUUGUCGAGUCUACGCUAUCGGCGUAAGUAAAUCUUAGUGUAUCGAGUCUAUGGCAUGUAUAGGGUUGUAAAGUUGAGUAUGUAAUAUUAUGAUUAAGCCAAAGACUUUGGCUUGUUAUUAAGGUAGUUUGAUUAUUCAUAUGCUUGUAUGUUAUUAUCUCCUGUGAUGUGGUUUAUAGCAUGUAUAUUUAGAAUUUGAAUUGUGAUUCAUUGUUGAGUAAGUAAAUGAUACAAGACUAAGAUAUUGGUAAAUAUUUAAUAAUGCCUCAUGAAUGUUUUGGGGCCUUGUAAACCAGAUUAACGAAUAAUAUACGCGUGUAUGAAAAUUUUAAAAUUGAUCAAAAAUUUUUACGGCUUGGUUAUAUAAAUGGUUGAGUUUAAAUCUGGUAGCACCUCGAACCCUUUUCCGGCGAGGAAUAUGGGUGAAGGGUGUUCAUUUAGUGGCAUCAGAGCAUGGUUUAGUCGAUUCUCUGACUAACCUAGCUUAAGAGAGUCUAGCUAUACAUGCCAUAGUAUUACUCGUGAUAGUGUGAUAUCUCCUGGCCCUAACAAAAUUAUUGGUUAAGACAGGAAUGAGUUCCAACCGAGCAAAUCUUGAUAGAGAUAAGAGUAAAAUUGAGAUUAAUGAAUCAUGGUUGUGAUAUGCUGAAAAUGGGAAAGGUAUGAAAAGAAAUUUAUGAUUCUUUUUACAUGAACUACUACUCAUUUUGUGAUACUAAUGAGUUAAGGAAUAGGGAAACGUGGAAUGAAAUGAAAGUUAAGUUGUGAUAAGCUCUUUCGUACAUGUCAGUAUUCACAUGAUGAUACGUACCUAACUCAUUUGGCUUAGUAAUUAUGAGGAGAAAAAUUGUUUGAAAUGACAAAAUGUAUGAAUAAAUGCUUUUAUUGCCUGGUUAGUAAUCAGUAUAUGCAUGAGAUUGACAUUUAUGUCUAGACUAAUGAAGUCAAUAUGUCGUAAUGUUAUGCUUUAUAAUCUCAGUUACAGAUUCAUAAAUGUCACAAUAGCAUGAAAAUUGUAAUGAAAGAUCAAAUUGGGUGGAACGCAGGGAAUGAGUACGAUCGUUUACUAAUGAAUUGACGAAAAAGACCAUGGUUGGACCGUGGCAAUACAUGAAAUAUGAAAGCCAAUGUAAAACAUGUCUGGGACAUGCAUCGGCCUCGUAGGUGCAAGUGUAAGACCUGUCUGGGACAGGCAUCGUCAUCGAGACAGAGGAGCUAGUGUAAGACCCAUCUAGGACGUGGCAUCGGCUCAACUAGUGCUAAGCGUAAGACCUAUCUGGGAUAGGCAUCGGCACGAAAAUAGCAGAGCUAGUAUAAGACCAUAGUUGGACUAUAGCAUCAAGUAGGCGAUGUACUCAAAACCAUAAGACAUUCUCCAAUUUGAUAAAUAGUGACAAGUGAUCAAGAUUAGACGUGGAAACUUGAUAAGAAAUUUUUGGUAAUUUGGGUAAAUGAAAUGAAAGUUUGAAUUGUGAUAAAUUCACUUAUGUUUUGCUAACAUUCAUAGGAAAUAAAGUUGCAUGUAUUACUGAGAUGUAUGAAAACGUGUUCGUAAUAAGUUGGAAAUUUGAAAUGUUUGAAUCAAUGUGCGUAAUGCUAUGUUGUUGUUGAAUGUGUACUUGCUUGAGAGUUAAAAGUUUAUAGGCUUUACAAUUUUCGCCCCUUACCAGAAUAGAGUUAUACAGUGAGAUUCUCGAGAGAUACAUUGCAUGAGUUUGCAAAAGUGAAAUUAAAGAGUACAAUAGUGUAAUAGUAUGGGAUUAGUGAAAACAGAAUUAGACGGUUGAGUCAUGAUUGAAUUAUAUUGAUGGCUAAGUGUAGUAGUUAUAGUCGGGCAGUUACUAUGACUUCUUCGGGGCAUUCUAUGUGUACAUUUCUCUUUAGAAGUAUAUGUGAUGGUUUAAUUUCAGAAGGAAUAUGAGAACAUUAGUUUAGCAUACUAAUAAACGAAAGCAUCAUUGGUUUGUUUGGGCUAUUUUUGACAUCGCUAUGUCUUUCUUUGGUAUUUAUUCCCAUAUGUUAAUAUGAAAAUCAACAGAAAAAUCUGUAUGAUGCUAAUACUCUGUUUCUACUGAUUAUUGUUCGGUUGAAUAUUCGUGAAGAGUAUAUUGUCUCUGUGACUAUGGAUUUUAGUAAUUAUGAGUGACAUUGUUCUUUCUGGACAUUUUUUGGGAUAUCAUCGGAAUUGAUAUCAUUCUAUAUGGGUGGUAAUUCACUGAUAUUUUGUGUAACUUCAGACAUUGAAAUUUUGCUAUAUCGGUUUCUUAUGAUUUCAUGUGAUUAUCUGUAAGAAAUAUUUAUUUGACAGAGUUGAUUAUGUUUAUUAUAAUUAUAAUUUCUGGCUUGAAAUGUGAGAGUAUAGUGGUACUGUCAUCAGAGUUAUAGAAGUUGUGAUUCUGCAUUGGUUGCUGUUUAAACCAUAUUUGAUUCUCUUCUAUGUUCAAAUGUUUCAUCAACAAUCGGGAUAAUAUUUAUUAUAGGGUUGAGACAUUUUUCCUAUUAAGGCCCAAAGAUGUCUAUCUAGUUAACGUGACUUCAGUAUAAUUCAGAGUUUCGAUGAUUAUUAUAUGAGACAGUUUUAUUAUAAACUUUUUCCUAGUUAUUGUGAAAGAUUCGACAUCAUUAAAAGUGAAAAUGAUAGAAGAUAAAGAUUAAAUCUGUAUAGUGAUAUUUCAGAGGUUAUCUUUCUAGCAAGAAAAAAGAUGUGAUUUGAGGGAUAGUCUAAAAGAAGAAUCUGUAUUCGUGAAGAUUUGGUACAAAAAUUAAAUCUGUUUUGGGGCCUUGUAAGCCCGAUUAAAGGAUAAUAUAUGCGUGUAUGAAAAUUUUAAAAUUGAUGAAAAUUUUUUACAGCCUGGUUUUAUAUAAAUGGUUGAGUUUAAAUCUGGUAGCACCUCAAACCUUGUUCUGGCGAGGAAUACGAGCGAAGGGUGUUACAGGACGGUUUCUUGAACAAACGUAGUGUGCUAAUUUUCAAUGAUUUUCCAAGUGUUGGGACCUCCAAAUAAUUGUCACAAAAGCUGAUUUUUGGCUGCCAAAAUAUCUUAGCCAAAUUAGGCUUUCUUCUUCUUGUUUGGAUGAUUGCGUGACCCAUUUAAUAAUUAGACUUGUCCACUACGUAGCACCAUUUUUCACUGGGUCAAAGCAACAUCUUCAUGACCCAAUUUUCAUGGUUUUACCGUCCAAGUACGGUAGAAUUGCUCAUGUCCAUGAAAAAAUUAUAAUAAGCUCUCUAUUAAAUCAACUUCAUGGUCCCACUGUAGAAAUUAAAUAUAGCACAUUAAUAAAUGACAUGAAAUAAUUUAAUUUAUGCACAAAAUUAACAUAAUAAAGCACAAAUUUGCAUAUUUUUAUAAAUUCAUGUCCAUUGUCAGAAUAUAAGCAAAAUUCACUUAAUUAAUUAACAAAUACUCGAGAUUAGUAUUCUUUUUAAGUAAAAAGGUGGUAAAAGCUACUAGUAAAACCCUAUAUAAUUUAGAGUUUACACGUGUGCCACCCACCUAUACUCUAGUUAAGGUAAGAGUGUGUUUUAUAUUCAAAAAAUAUUAUUUUACAGGGGCAAGUUCAACCAAGAUUCUUGUAUCUCUCCCGAUAAAUAGAUGACAUUGGUUGACCUAAAAUCAUAAUGUUUUAGACAUUGUUAUUGUGCUAGAAAAAAGUGGGAUUUAUUAUCUAAGAAUAAUUUCUAUUUUCUGGGAAUUAGAUUUUUUUCAAUUUCUAUUAGAGAGAAAAUACUUUCUUACUUAAAGUAAUCACAUUGUUUUUUUUGUAUUUGGUUCAUGUUGGUCGAGCCCACACUCAAUGCAAUUCAGGGUAAGAGGAUAAAGGAGAAGGUUGUUCAGUUGAAAGCUAGGAUUUACUUGAAUCUGUCUCACACAAAUGACAUGAAAUAUUCGAUUAGAGUUUUUUGGUAUAAAUAUCACAAACUGUCGAUUUUGAAUGAAAUGAUAAAAAACCAUUUUCUUAACCAAUUUUUCCAGCAAUUGGUAUCAAAUUUGUAUUGUGCUAUGUUUAUUGUAUAAACUAAUAUCAAAUAUUUUCUCUAUUCUUCAUGUUUCAUUAAUUUUCUUAAGAUGUGACAUUCUUGUAAUUUUAUGUGUAUUUUCGGUUAUGAAUGUGAAUGAAUGUAUUUAAUUAUUUUAUUAUAUAUGAUAAAAGUAAUAUUGUCAAAUUUGUUAUUCCUAGAAAUUAGAUUGGAUGUAAUUUUAUGUUUUUAUGAAUAUUGGGAUAUGUAUUAGAUCGUGGACUAUGAUCUCCACAACCUAAUUCAUGUAGUCAAAAAAAAGUUAGGGUUUUUGUAUCCUAAUUUUUUGGCAAAUGUCAAAAAACCGAGAUGCAUCCAAAAAUUGAUUGAGAUGACACAAACCUGACCCAACCGAAAAAAGAUCGGUAGUGGGUGUAACAACCCAUUUUCAGUGAAAUCAGAACAGUGGUUUCGAGAACACAAAUCUGAGCCAGAAAGAAAAUUUAUUUUAACAUUAUUGUAUGAUCCGUAAUAUGAUAGGAAUGUUAUAUAAAAAUUUUGAUAAGAAAAUUUUAUCAAUUAUGUGUUUAAUUAGGGAAAAGACCAAAUUGCAUAAAAUACAAAAGUUGAAUUCUUGUAAUUAAAAGGAUCAAUUAACUAUGGAAUUCAAAACUUUAGGUCCUUAUAUGGUAAUUAGACCAUUAAAGAAAAGUUAGUAGAUACAUUUGAUGAAUCAUCCAUGGAAAUUUAGAAAAAGAAAAGGACUAAAUUGGAAAUGAGAAAAAUUAAAAGAUGAUAAAUAUUUAAAUAAGAAGUAAUAUCAUUUUAUAUCAUCUUCAUCCCCAAACACAUGGAAACCCUAGGAAAGAGAAAACAAACUUUCUUGGCUUGAAUAGGUAUGUUUUCUUAUCUCAUUUUUAGUAAUUUUUAUAUUUUUGAGAUCGGGAUAGCUUAAUCUAUUUAUUUUGGGGAUUAAUUUGAAAAGUUAUCAAAGUAAAAAAGUUUUACCGUGGAUGAAUGUCCUGAAAUUUUGAAAUUUAUGGUAGAAAAUGAAAGGUUAUUGAUAGAUAAACAACUUUUACAAGGUGAAUUUUGAUGAAAUUAUGAUUUAGGGGCCAAAUUGCAAAGAUGUAAAAAUUAUGAAAAAUUCUGAAUUUUGUGAAAUACAUGUGCUGUAAAUGUUAUGUGAAAAUUUUGGUUAGGCUUGGAAUAAGGAUUAAAUUUCAUGAAUUUCAUUUUCCGAGCUUAGGGAUGAAAUUGGAGUUUAUGAAGAGUAUAAGGGCAAAAUAGUAACUUUGCCUAGGGUGUAAAUUGAAUCCAAUUGAAUACGAAAUGUAAUAAAUUGAUGAUUUAAUUCAUUUAUAUAGGUUCGAAUAACUCAAAUUUGAAGCUAGAUCGAGGAAAAGAAAAGGUGUCAGAUUCUAGAUCGAGGAAAAGAAAAGGUCUCGGAUUAGUAGGCUUUUUGUAACACCCCUAACCCGUGUUCGCCGCCGAACGGGUUACAAGGCAUUAUCAAACAAAAUUCAUCGUUUAAUAAUUAUCAUCAUUUUAAUAUCACAGUUAAACAUAAAUGUUAUAACAUUUCUAUAAUAUACAAUUCAUAGACAAUAUUAAAUCCUAUCAAAUACAAAGCAUUCAUUAAAGGCAAGGAUUUCUUACAUACAUAUAUAAAAUAAAUAACGUAUAUAUAUAUAAAUCACCUGAUCAUGAUCUAAUUUCAUUUGGCAUCUAAUCAUUAUCAUUUAUACCUUUCAUAAGGUCAUUUAUAAAAUUCAUAAAGAUGCCAAAUUUCAAACAUCUAAUAUACACAUGAUUUAAUAAUCAAAGUACCAUAAAACAAAGUCAAUUUUUAUUUUUUUUUUAUUUUUUAUCUUGUAUGAACUCAUCUAAUUUAAUCAAACAUAAAUCAAUGUCCAUUUAUUCAUUUUAUCAACCAAAGUCGAAUUUAAUUAUACUUAUUAAAGAUCUAUUAGCAACUUUCUCAUUCAUAAAACGUGCAUAAAAUCUCACAUCCAAAAAUCUUCCAAGUACACAAAUAAAUUAUUUCUUCUAGAACCGAUUAUCAACUAAUCAAUAUCAAAUGCCCAAUUUAUACUAUAGUCAACGGCAUACAUCCUUAAUAAUUUCAUAUCAACAAUCCAUUCUUAUGCAUGAUAUAUCCAUAAUCUAACCAUACCAACAGAUCAUGAAUUCAUUUGCAUAUACCAAGAAUACUAAAUUAAUUCCAUCACAUAUAUAUUUAUAUAUUAUAGCAUUACUUAAUUAUGAAAUCAACCAUAAUUUACUUAAGUUUAAACAUCAUAUUAGAUGCCAUAAGUACAACUCAAAUCCAACCAACAAAAAUACUAGACUAUACAUGCCAUAAGUUCAAAUUAAACAUUCAUUAAUACCGAAAUACACGAUAGUGUUGUGAACUUCACGGACGAUCCCCGAGCAUGUAAUGACUUCUAAAAUCUAUAAAAUAAAAACAAGUAAACACACACCCAAAGUAAGCUAUCUUAGCUUAGUAAAUUGUAAGCAAUUUAAACAAUUUAAAAGACAUUGAUAGUCGAAUUAUAUAACCGAGUCAUACUUCCAUAAUCUCAUAUUCAUCCAAACUUAUUAGUCCAUAUAUCUAUCAAUCAUUCACAUAUAAUUUCCAACAUUUUCCAAUAUACAUAUACUCUUUCACAUAACUACUCAUCAUUUCCAAUCUCAGAUUUUCAUAAUUAGCCGAAUGUUCAUAUGCAAUUAAAAUAAAUAAUCAAACAUCAUAACAUGCAUAUAAUAUAUCAAUUCAUUCCUUUUCACUCAUUCAUCUUUCAUUUUACUAUUCUUCCAUACAUUUCACAUUUGCUACAACCAACACCAUAAUUCCAAAUUCAAUAAUAUCAACCACACAGGUUUGAUACAUACCUGCAUAUUACGAAUUUAAAUAUUCCACUUAAUACUUUUGCAUUUGAUAAAUAACUCAUUCGCCAACUUUCGAUCACUUGUUGUAUUCACACACUUAGCACACUUAGUGCUCGAUAGUUUUACUUCGCACACUUAAUGCUCGAUAAUUUUACUUUGCACACUUAGUGCUCGAUAAUUCACAUAUAUAUAUAUCCAUUCAUGCCUAUUCAAAACAUUUACUUUCAGCAUAAUUAACAUUUUGCACUUUCCAAAUCAGCAUGUAUAUACGUAUAUAUAUAAAUUGCAUUUAUAUAAGUCAACAACAAUUAUUUACUUUGUAACUUACCUCAAAUAUCGACUGACUAUAUUUUUCGACUAUUCGACUAUUUUCGCCUUUCCCCGAUCCAAACCCGAUCCUCUUUGCUCUUGAUCUAUUAAAAAUUCAAAUUGAACUCAUUCAGAGAAAAUUUUAUUAAAUUACCUCCCAAACUCAUAAUCAAGCAAAUUACCAAUUUUCCCUUCACUUUGUACAUUUUUACAUUUUAAUCCAAUAUAACAAAAACAUGAAACAUCAAAAAAAUUCCAACCUAACUUACUUAGGCCGAAUAUUCCUUAAGUUUAAAUAAAUCCUUCCUUUUAAUCUAUUUCGAAAUUUAGCUCCUCAAUUUAUCAACUAAGCAAAUAAGCCCUAUUUAGUUAAUUUCAUGCAAACUUCUAGUAUAAAAUUCAAUAAUAUAACACAUCUCUUCUAUUAUGCAACUUCAAACUAAUUUUUUUUUCAAACCUUUAUCCAUGGCCGAAUACCAUUUCCUUACCAAUUCUAAAAAUUAAACUAUGGGUUAACUAAGCAACUUAUCAAUCAUCAGAAAUGUGCAAAAUUUUUAAAAAUUAAACUCAGACAUACCUUUAAAUUAAACUAGUCAAGGGCCGAAUGCAAGGAAUCUAUUUCUUUCUUUUGCUUGGCUAUCUAUGAUUUUUCCAAAGAUGAAAACUCCACCACUUCCUAUUUUUCUAAGUUAAUGUGAUAAUAUAAUUAUUAAGUUACCAAAAUAGCCAUUAUAAAAUUAUGCUAUUUCCACUAUCUAAUGACCAAUUGUGUCCAUGCAUGAUUCUUGGUUUAAUAGCAUUUUAACUCCCCCAACAUAAAAGACCAUUAACAAUUUAGCAUUCACACAUAAUUCAUCAAAUUUUACCUAUUGUGCAUUUACACCCAUUCUUUAUAAUUCGGCAUCUAAACAGAAAAAUUAAGAUAUGAAACUUUCAUGGAUAUCAAUUCACACAUAACUAAUACAAAAAUUUAAUUUAAAACAUUUUUUUAUUCAGAUUCGUGGUCCCGAAACUACCAUUUUGAUUAGGGUCAAAAUCGGGCUGUUACAACUCUACCCCCUUAAGGAUUUUCGUCCCCGAAAAUCUUACCGAUGAAUAGGUUUGGGUAACGUUCUCUCAUUGAAUUUACAAGUUCCCAAGUUGCUUCCUCGACACCAUGCUUAUUCCAAAGUACUUUCACCAAUGAAAUUUUCUUAUUUCUAAACUCUUUCUCUUCGCGAGCUAGAAUACGGAUAGGUUCUUCCCCAUAAGUUAAAUCGGACUGAAUCUGAAUCUCGGAAGGGCUAAUCAUAUGAGAAUGAUCGGAUCUAUAUCGUCGAAGCAUCAAAACAUGGAAAACAUAGUGAAUCUUUUCCAACUCAGGUGGUAACAUCAAUCGGUAAGCAACUGGUCCUAUACACUUAGUAAUCUCAUACAGUCUAUUAAAUCUCGGACUCAACUUCCCCUUGCGACCAAAUCUAAGAAUUUUCUUCCAUGGUGAGACUUUCAAAAAUACUCGGUCACCAAUCUGAAACUCUAUAUUUUUACGUUUCAAAUCCGCAUAAGAUUUCUGACGAUCUGACGCUGCUUUCAAAUUUUGACGGAUCACUUUUACUUUCUGUUCAGUUUCUUUAAUCAAAUCAACCCCGUGUAUCUUAUUUUCACUUAGCUCGGUCUAGUACAAAGGUGUACGACAUUUACAAUCGUACAAAGCUUCGUAAGGUGCCAUUUUGAUAUUUGACUGAAAACUAUUGUUGUAUGCAAAUUCAAUCAAGGACAAGUAUCUUUCCCACGUACCCUCAAACUCGAGAACACAACAUCUCAACAUAUCUUCGAGUAUUUGGAUGAUUCAUUCGGACUGGCCAUCCAUUUGGGGGUGAAAUGCAGUUUAGUACCUAAAGCAUCUUGCAGUUUCUUCCAAAACUGUGAUGUAAACCUCAGAUCUCUACCCGAAACUAUAGAAAUAGGUACUACGUGUAAUCGCACAAUCUAUGAUAUGUACAAUUCGGCUAGCUUAUCGAGUGAGUAAUAUGAACAGACAGGAAUGAAGUAGGUCGAUUUCGUCAAUCUAUCAACAAUCACCCAAAUUGCAUUCUUCUUGCUCGGUGUCAACGGUAAACCCGAAACAAAGUCUAACGUGACUCGGUCCCAUUUCCAUUCAGGUAUCAUAAUCGGCUGAAGUAAUCCAGAAGGCACCUGAUGCUCAGCUUUCAUUUGUUGACAUACUAAGCAUUUUGAAACAAAGUCAGAAAUGUCUCGUUUUAUACCAUGCCACCAAUAAUGCUGUUUCAAGUCGUUAAACAUUUUCGUGCUACCUGGAUGAACAGACAUCCGACCGUUAUGAGCUUCGUUUAAAAUCAUAUGUAUAAGCUCUAAAUUUCUCGAAACACAUAGUCGGUUAUUUAAUCUUAAACAAUCAACCGCAUCAAUUAGAAACUCUGAGUUAGCCUUUAAGCCACAUUGAGCCCGUUUUGCAACUAAAUCACCAUCAACUUUUUGAGCUUCUCGAAUCUGCUGCACAAGUAACGUUUUAUCUUAAAUUCAGCUACUAACGCACCAUCUACAGUUAUAGCCAAAUGCGCAUUCAUCGCACACAAAGCAAACAGUGAUUUUCGACUUAAGGCAUCAGUAACAACAUUAGCCUUCCUGGGAUGAUAAUCAACCACAAGCUCGUAAUCUUUAAGUAAUUCUAGCCACCGACACUAUCUCAAAUUAAGAUCCUUUUGAGACAUCAAGUAUUUAAGACUUUCGUGAUCGGUAUAGACGUGGCAUUUUUCACCGAGCAAAUAAUGGUGCCAAAUCAUUAAAGUGAAUACGAUAGCAGCUAGUUCAAGAUCAUGCGUCGGAUAGUUUUUCCCAUGAGGCUUUAACUGUCUCGAGGCAUAAGCUACAACUUUGCCUUCUUGUAUUAAGACGCAACCCAAACCAUUCAAAGACGCAUCACUGAAAAUCACGAAUUCUUUACUCGACUCUGGUUGAACUAGCACAGGAGCUUCGGUCAAAAGUACUUUCAACUGGUCAAAACUUUUCUGACAUUUUUGUAACACCCCAAACCCGGCCCAAACGUUACGGCCGAAUUUAGUAUGUCACAUGGAGAUGUUUAAAAAAACAUGUGUUUAUCUAAAUUCUUUGUUUAGAGUUUAGCAAAAAUCUGUUCUUGUUUUAUGUUAAAGUGAAUGGAAGCUGUGCACCAGGUAGGAAGCCAGAAAAGAGGAGGUGAGUCUUAUAGGACCGCUUAAGUACCUAGCUCUUCCCGGAUCCAAUCCUAGACAUGCCCACAUCUAUUGCCACACUUUAAGCAGGUUACGUGUCUACGAACAUUAAAACGAGUUUAAGUCUGCUUAAAAUAUUUAUUUUUUUUGGAAAAACAUUUACUUUGCGGAAACUUUGCGCGUCAUCGUGAUCUUUUAAAAACAAGUAGCUUUUAUAAAACGAACCCUAGUGCUAACCAGUUUAAUAAUCCCCAAAAUAAAAUUAGUUAAAAAGAGCGGCCUUAUUACAACUUUAACUAUAAUAAAAAUAAUCUAAAAUAAUGCUAAACUUAUUUAAAACCGGCAAUCAAUCUUCAUGGCCACUCUGAAUCCCGCCCAGCUCCAAGUCCACCAACUAGGGCUCACCUGCAAGGAUGGAAGAGGAAGGGGUGAGUUUGGAAACUCAGUGCAUACAGAAACCCAUCCAAAGCCCAAAUCAGCUCGAGCCCAUUGGGCCUAAGCCCUAUUCAGAUAACAGUACACAGUGGACCGAAGCCCUUUUCAGAAUACAGUAGCAAAGCCUUAGCCCCUUUUUACAUAACAGUGUGGCCCAUAGGCCCAGUUCAGUAACAUAGGUAACAAUAGUAGUAAUGCAUGCAAACCCAUCUGGGGAGACUACUCAACCCACCAACCGCUACACUGCCCCCGUACCAGCCCUACACUCCAUGUGGGGAACAUCUCAACCCACCCAGCCCUACACUCCACAGUUGCAGCAACGCUGCUCAAAUAUCAGUAAGUUGAGGCAAAGCCUCCAGUACGUGGAUGAACCACUUUCAAUACUUCCUCCAUCAAUACCCCAAUCCCAUGCAACAGAUAUUAAUAAAAGCAUAUCAUGUAAAAUACAGUAUUAAUCAAUCAUGCAGUUUAGCCAAUUUAAACCCUAGGGGUAUAUCGAUAAUUUUACUCUUUAGGGGUAAUUCUCGUAACUUAGCAACUACACAAGCUACUUCAGUAAUUUUCAACAGUUUUAUGCAGUUUGGUUGCACCAUCUAACUAACAGGCUAAUUUUCCCAUCUCUUACCCAUAUUGGUCCGUAAGCCCAUUGGGCCCAGUUUUGGCCCAUCGAGGCCCUCUUUUUCCGAAGUACGUUAAGACGUCACGCAAACUUACUUACCACCUUGCGGUGCUAGAUCUAACAAUUACUCUACGUCUUGAGAGCAUUCGCAUACUCACACGUCCAUGAAAUACCGAAAUUUUGGCUUUUUCCGAAUUGAACUAAGAAAGGGUGUUCGGUACACACCUGAUUCGCGACGACUGCUACUGAGAUCUCUUCCGAUGUCCUACAAUUGAUUAGCAUAGUUCUUAUUUACAAACCAUAAUCACUAAACCCAAAAACUUACUCAUCCAAGACCGAGCCAUGUCCCUAAAAACCUUUAAAACCUUACCUCUGCAAAAAACCGAUAGCUAGCUCCGAAUCUGAUUGCCCCAAGGAACCACGCCUUCUCCAACGUUUAAGUAAACACUAAUCAUUGACAGAAAACAUUGGUUAAAGACCUUAGAGAGCCAAAGGCCCAAAUCGACAGCCUCCCUAUAGUUUAGGGACCUCGGCUUUUCCUAACUUGUAAAAAUAAGACCAGAUCUGAGAUAAUAAGCACUUACCCCUUGUUCUUUCUCGAUUUCCACUCAAUCCAGUGUAGAUUUAUCCCUAAAACAACGGUAGAACCCGAAUCCAGGAGUUGAAGAAAUUUCGGCUAUAGCCCCUAAAGCUAUGGUAUUUCGGCUUUUGGUGCAGAAGGAGACGACAAUAUGAAACUAUAACCUGGAUGUAGAAUUGUCGACAGGUCUCUAGAGUUUAGAAAGAAUAAACGUUGAUUAAUGGAAACACAAUGUUAAAGGGUUUGGCUUUGAAGAAAUCGGUACCAGUAAUGUGUGUUCAAGAUUUUGACUUUUAUGGAUUCGGCAAAAGUAUCGAUGAACAGCAGAAUUGAUGAAUGGUUUUGAAGAAGAAAAACAGAAAAAGAAGAACAGGGGAAGUGGUAGUUUCGGCUAGAGAGGAAGAAGAGAGAAAAGAAAAACCUUGUGAUGUCUGAGCAGAAAAGAACGUCACCACUCAAUACCCUAGGUGCCGAAAUACUAACCUCAUAACCUUCUGCCGAUUUUUCCCUCUUCAAUUCCCAAAAUUCAGCCAACUCCUAGCCUCUCUCCCAAUCCCUUAAAUCUCUCCCCUUAUCACUCCUUAAUCCAAGCGUUUGGACAGAUUCAAACUCUCCUUUAGCAGACUCCACCUGGACUCCAACACUACCCCUCCUGCACUUAAAAAUAAAUGCAUCUAUUUGUCAACACAGGGAAUCGAUCCCAUGCCUUCCUCAAUGCUCCACACGCCACCUUUUUAGGAGCCUAGUGGCGUCACCCUUGCCACUUUACUAAGGCUCUUUUUGUGAUACAAUUUACCCAUAACUCUAUACAAGGACCACCUAGCCAGAACCCCUAACUCCUAAGUCCAAAAUUCAAAAAUUCAACCGGGUUUUGGCCAACACAUGGGCCUUCUAUAAGCCCAUUUACCUACUCAAAAUAUUAAUUUUACAUCCAAAUACAAAAUUUUAAAAUCUUUCCAAAAUAUUGAAAACCGCGAAUAAAUCCGAAAAUCAGGAUGUUACAACUCUACCCUCCUUAAAGAAAUUUCGACCUCGAAAUUUUACCUUAUUAGAACAGUUGAGGGUACUGUUGACGCAUAGCCUCCUCAGUCUCCCAAGUAGCUUCUUCUUUGCCAUGGUUCCUCCAAAGUACUUUCACUAGUGGAACUGAUUUCCUUCUCAACACAUUGACGUCACGAUCAAGUAUCUGCACAAGUUCCUCUUCAAAAGUUAAAUCUGACUGUACCUCGAUUUCUGCAACUGGUAUUAUGUGAGUUGGGUCAGAUCGAUACCGCCUCAGCAUGGAUACAUGAAAAACGUUGUGGAUACGAUGCAGUUCUGGUGGUAACUCUAGCUGAUAAGCCACUGGUCCAACCCGCUUAACAAUUCGGUAAGGCCCAAUAAACCGUGGGCUUAACUUACCCUUCUUACCAAAUCUCAAAAUUUUCUUCCAGGGGGAAACCUUCAAGAAAACCAUAUCCCCAACAGCGAACUCAAUCUCUUUGCGCUUCAGAUCCACAUACGACUUCUGUCUAUCGAAUGCCUCCUUUAACCGAUCCCUUAUUAGCCUAACCUUGCUUUCAGUGUCUGCCACCAAUUCCGGCCCAAGCACUCGUCGUUCACCCAACUCUGUCCAACACGUCGGCUUAGCAAAUCUUCACCCAUAGAGCGCUUCAUAUGGUGCCAUCUGAAUACUUACUUGAUAGCUGUUAUUGUAAGCAAACUCCGCCAAUGGCAAGUAGUCCUCCAAACUUCCAUGAAAAUCAAUGAUACAACCUCUCAACAUAUCUUCCAGAACCUGAAUAACCCUUUCUGACUGUCCAUCUGUCUGUGGGUGAAAAGCGGUGCUAAAAUCCAAUCGUGUACCCAACGCUUCCUGCAACUUCCGCCAAAACCGAGAUGUAAACCUAGGGUCUCGAUCAGAAAUUAUCGAC
rnacentral:lncRNA from 1 species